rnacentral:lncRNA from 1 species
CCAUUGUCCGUUCGAAGAACCUUAACUUGCUUUCCAGUUUAUUUUUCCACUUCAUUCUUCUAAUGUCUGAACUUUAUACAUACCUCAAACUUUUCCUUCAUGAAGAAUACCCAAGCCUUACGGGAGAAAUCAUCGAUAAAUGUAAUAAAACAACGAGCACCACUUUUCGAAGUCACCGGAGCCAGCCCCCACACGUCCGCAUGGAUGUACUCAAGUACACCUUUACUUUUAUGACUGGAGGUCCUGAAACUCAACCUUGGAGGUCCUGAAACUCAACCUUUUCUGUUUUCAAAUAAACAAUAUUUGCAGAAAUUAAGUUUACAGGAUUUAAUACCUUUGAGUACUCCCCUUUUAUGCAGUUCCAACAUCCCUAUUUCACUCAUGUGGGCUAGUCUUAUGUGCCAGAGCUCCGUAUCAUCAGCAUCAUGAUCUUCUAUGGAAGUUACCACAGCGCUUCCAAUCACCGACUCACCGAUCAGCCUAUACAAAUUCCCUUUCUUCUCUCCCUUCAUGAUGACCAGGGUACCCUUUUUCAACUUAACAACUCCACCUAAAAUGCUAACUGAACAUCCAAUAGAGUCAAGAGUACCAAGUGAUAUAAGAUUCAACUUGAGAUCCGGAAUGUGUCUCACAUUCGUUAACGUCCUCACCACACCAUCAAACAUUUUUAUUUUUACUGUUCCGAUACCGACCAUCUUAUAGCUAGUGUGAUUACCCAUCAUAACACUACUGCCUUUACAAGACUUAUAAGUAUCAAAUAAAGACCUGUCUGGAGACAUGUGAUAAGAACAACCCGAAUCCAAUAUCCAGUCACCAAGAGAUUUAGAAUCUGUUGUAACCGUCAAAACGUCCUGACCGAAAUCGCUGGCUAUGCUCGCCGUAUCUGCAGAGGAAUUUUGCUUUUGCAGCCAAACCUUCCUCCUUUUGCAGUUCUUUUUCAUGUGGCUCUCUUUCUUGCAGAAGUAACACUUCACUUUUUUUUUGAUUUUGACUUGGAACGGGAUCUUCAUUUACCUGCAUUACGUACACUUGAUCGUCCCCUUCCUCCACCUGUAUCAUUUACGACCAAGCCUGCACUGCUUUCUUCGAUACUCGCCUGCAACCUGAUCUUUUCAGAUAAAAGUGUCGAUGCAACAUCAUCCAUCUUUAGAGUUUGCUUCCCGUACAGUAUGGUGGUCACCAAGUGAUUGUAGGACAACGAAAGUGAUGUAAGAAAAAUCAACGCCUUAUCGUCCUCGUCAAUCUUAAAUUCUUGAAUGAUCCACAUCACUUCUGGUUCUAUUGUAACAAAAGAUUCCCUUUUUAUGUGGAAAAGACCCGUAUCAAUAAUUAUGAUCUUACAUAUGGACAAUUCCGAGCAAAUCUGCAAUAAUUUUAUUAAAGGUGUUCAACUGUUCCGUUAUUUUCGUACCUUCCUUCAUGCGUAGCCCAUAUAAUUUUUGUUUUAAGUACAACACGUUCGAGAGGCUUUUUGUCAUGUACAGCUUCUCUAGCUUGUUCCACAUGCCGAUUGAAGUUUCUUCAUCCAUAACGUUAUACAUUAUCUCAUCUACUAGGCACAAUAUAAUUGUAUUCAUCGCCCGCAGAUCAAUAUCCUUCCAAUCUUCGUCGCUCAUUGAUGUUGGCUUUUUUGAUUUUCCGAGCAACGCCUUAUGAAGGCCCUGUUGAACCAGAAGGGUUUUCACUCUUCUCUACUAGAGACUAAAGUUUUCUUUACCAUCACAUUUCUCCACCUCAAAUUUAGAAGACGAGACCUUCGACAUUUCUGAUGUAGUGCGAACCUUAUGCUCUGUUACCACUUGUUGGGAACUUGAUGGAUAGUUCGUCAUGCGCUACCAACAAAUAUGCACAAAAAAUAGAGAAAUUUGAUCGAACGGUAAAAGAAAUAAAUACAAAAAAAAACCAAAAUUUAUGUAGUUCGGCAAUUGCCUACAUCCACGGGGAGAGCGAGAGAGAUGUAUUCCACUAUACGAAGAAAUAGAAGUACAAGCUUACAUCUUAUGUCUUCUCAGGAUAAAAAUCAAGAGCCUUAUGGUGAAUCCCAUCUUUCUCUUGUUCUAACGAAAACUCCAAGAAAAUGCCAAAAAAACUUUUCGUAAAACCGAGAAGACUAAAUUAGAGAAGUAUAGAAAAUUUUGACCAAAAAAAAAACUUUACGUUGUUGCUUUGAAGAAUCCGAACUGCUCAGACAAUUUGGUGAAGAACCGCCGCUCCGUCGCUAAUUUCAAUCCAGACGUCACAUGCGAGGCCGCGCACCUUUUCUUGAUCGGCUAUAGUACGACUUUAAGAACCGGCCACCUUUUCUUUUUAAUUAAUUAGCCUCUCUUUAAUUAAUUUUUGGCCACACCCACAUCUGUACAUGCAUGUACAUAUAUAGGUAUAGUUCUAACUCCUUAUCCUAUACUCCAAUUUAUAAUUAACAUGAAUUAGACUUAUGCAUGGAAAACCGAAUCCGAGUCCAACUUAAUUUGAAUCCACCGAUAAGAAUCCUCAUGAGAUCCUGUCUAUUAUUCCAUAGACCCGAUGCAUGAACCAAAUCAAUAAAAAAGAAGGUAUAUCUUUAACAUCAUCUAUCUAUAUAUUAAAACCACAAACAGGGACUAUAAAAGUAAGUAUCAACAAAUAUAAUAAAUAUAAUAGAUUUUCUAUAAAUACUUGUAAUAAAAAUCAUAAAGUGAAAAAUCAUUUAACAGGGAAUAAUACUUGUAAUACUUGCAAUAAAAUCAUAAAUUUCCUAUCAACAGGGAAUAUUACUUGCAAUAAAAAUCAUAAAGAGAAAAAUAGAUACUUGUAAUAGAUUUUUUAUCAACAAAAAUGGAUCUAUAACUUAAGAAAUAAAUAAUUUCCUACCAACCGUUUAACAUAAAAAAAAGCAUUUUAGUUAAAUAGGGAUUAAAGUUACCUCGUUAUGGUUCUUGUUGUUAUUGUGGUCCAUUAGCUUCAAAGAGACAAAAAUAUGGUUCGAUUGCUUCAGAUAUGGAGUUAUGUUGAAGUGGUGGAUUCGGAUUGCUUUGGAUCUACAGAUCAAUGAAGGUCCUGUGCUUCACGGCUUGGGUGUAUAUGGAUGAUCCGCAUCAGCAAGGUGUCCGUAGGUUUUGAGGGCAUUGGGGAGCGGCGUCAAGGAGCGGCAUCGAGGCAGUGUCUGCAAUUAGGUUUAGAGGGCUUCGGGGAGCAGUGUCGAGUGAUGCAGGGACGAAGCCAGAAUUUUAGUUCGGGGGGGCCCAAAAACACAUUAUGCAAAAAUUUCAACCUAAGUAAAUAAAACGAUUCAAGGAAAAUCAAAAGUUAAGGUGCGUGUCUCAAUUAAGAUAAGGUAAAGGAGUUGUCUAAAUCAAAAUGGCCUGUAGCUAACGGGAUCUGAGUACAUGUUUACCAUAUAAAAGACGAAUUGCUCAUCGAGCAAACACGUAACCGAGAUGAAACUUUAGCAAAAACCAUAUCGCAAACACAGAGAUCUAAAUUUAACACAGAGAAUAUAAAGAACGGAUCGAGAUUACGAUGAGCCAAACCUUGCACGCUCCUGCAUAGGCCUUCGACUCAAAGUGGUGCUUAUCUUCCAACAUGAUUCCAAGCUCCCAAAAGAGCAAUCCAAAAAAAAAACCUGCACCAAUUGAGAUCGAGAUCAUGGUCAUGAUCGAAGACGUGAAUUGAAUCGAAAAAACAAUUAGGUUAAAAGAGAAGUUUAAAAAUUUUGCUUACCAUGCAAAAGUUAGAAUAGUGCUCGGCGCUCCUUCAAAUCACGAAAUCCAUCAAUAAUUGAAUCAACGGUGAACUUCUCGGCAAUUUCUCUUUCAAUAUACACGAUCAAAGAAUUAGUAAGAAAGUCAUCAUCCAUCUUAUUCCGGAGAUCGGUUUUGAUAAUGUUCAUAGCAGAAAAUGCUCGUUCAGUAGUUGCAGUUGAAACUGGAAGAAUCAAUACAAGUUUAACUAAUCGGUAGAGAAGUGGAUAUAUUUCUGACUUUCUUGUUGUUACUAACCAUUGACAUAACUCAUAAAUAGUUGCCAAUUUUUGCAAGUCGGAAUGUCGCGAAAUUUCAAAUUCAUAAUGACGAAGCUCUAUUCUCAACCCUUCUCUUUCAAAUUCUGUAAAAUCUUGAGGAUAAUACCUUUUUGCAAGAUUACAAAUAUCAUCAAUAUUAAAAGAUUUGCAACCAUCUUUAGGAUCCAAAGCACAACUUAGAGUAAGUAACUCUAUCAUAUUGUCACUAAAUCUUGUAUUCAAUUCUUGCAAUUGACAAUCUAUUGCACCAUUAAAAAUAUCAACUCGAUAGUGAUGCUCAAGUGUAAUGUGAUCUCGUUGAAGGCGAGCACGACCUCCUCUUCCCACAUAAGGAGCUGACAUAAUUGGAACUUCUAUGUCAUGCUUUGCACAAAAUAACUUUACUUUCUCAAAAAGAGAAUCCCAUCCUUCAUCUCUAAGCUUUUGAAUAAGUGAUUUUGUUGAUGCCACAAGAUGCAUAGCAUUAAGAAUAUCUUGAGAUUUACAUUGCAAAUGUUGACAAAGAAUGCAGCUCACCUCCGUUAUUUCUUUCAUGAGAUGUAAAAUAAACACAAAUUCGAAAGAUGUCAUUGCCUUAUGAGCUAAAUGUGCUUCACCGCGUUGAGCAGCAUUGGAUCCUUCAUCAAUAAUAUUCUCUACAACUGUACAUGUUGCUUUAAACAAUUUUAGCAAACUUGUAAUAGAUUUGAAGUGUGAACUCCAACGAGUAUCACCGGCCUUUUGCAAACCGCCAACUUGAUUGAGUCCGGUUCCUGUCUCAAGCUCAUUCUUUUCAAUUAGUUCGGCAAAUUCAAAACUAUGAAACUUCUUUAGUUCAUCAUUUCUCUUGGUAGAAGAUCCAACAAUGUUGACUAUAGUACUUAAUUUUGAGUAAAAUUCAUAAAUCUCAAGAACAUCUUUAGAUGCCGCAACCAAAGCCAAUUGGAGACGAUGGGCUAAACAAUGAAUAUAGUAAGCAUAGGGACAAUCAUUAGAAAUUAAUGCUUGUAAUCCAUUCCAUUCACCUCUCAUAUUACUCGCCCCGUCAUAACCCUGGCCGCGAAUAUUUUGAACAUCAAGACUAUAAUGAGAAAGAACGGAAUAAAUUGCAUUUUUCACAGUUAAUGCUUUAGUAUCCAAGAUGUGAACAAGGCCAAAAAAUCUUUCCUCAAUAAAACCUUGUACAUCAACAAAUCUCAAAACGAUAGCUAAUUGCUCCUUUUUUGACUCAUCGCGUGCUUCAUCAACCAUUAUAGAAAAUUUCGAGUCACCAAUUUCAUCUCGAAUUUUUCUUCUUACUUUCUCUGCUAGAACUUGCAAAAUUUCUUUUUGCGUAUCCGGCGAAGUAUAAGAAGCAUUUUGUGGAGCAUUUUCUGAAAUAACUUUUGCCAUAUCUUCAUUAAGAAAAGAGAACAUCUUCAACAUUUUCAGAAAAUUACCCCGAUUAAUAGAUUCUUUACUUUCAUCUCGACCUCUCAUAGCACAUCCUUGAAAGGUAAGAUAUCUAACUGCAAUUAUUGAUGCUUUAAGACGUAAAUGAUUGUUUGCCUUUUGUUGUGACGUAUGUCUAUGAAGCACAUUCUAAAUAUGUUGAGAUUGUUUCAUCAAUUCUUCGCAAGCUCUUUCGGCAACUUUAUGAGGCGAGUUUGGUACUUUACCUACAUGAUUUAGAAAAACACAUCUUUUUCUAUUUUUUGCCUUUCUUCCAAUUGUGAAAACCGUCAACAGUGAAGGCAUUUUGUGAAGAAAGCACGGUAGACAAAAUGCCGCAUCUUUGGUUGGAGAAUAUUCUAACCACGAUUUGAAUGAUUCAAACCAUGAAGGUUGGAAACGACGCUGAUGAGAAAGAGGCCCACUUUUUGGAUAUUCCAAAAGUUUCGGUUCAUAUGGACCACUAAUUAUAUAUGCCCGUCGAACUUCAUCACGUUGUUCAACAGGAUAAUCCCAAAUUUGUGGUCGUAAUGCAGGAUCACGCUCAAAGGGCAUGUUAUUAGCCUCCUUAGCUUCUAUUCUUGGAGAUUUCGAACGACAAGUUUGGGAACCCGAAGCCUCAUCUCUAUAAAUUGCUUCUUGUUCAUUAGCUUUCGAAUUUUCAGUACUUUUUCUUUUAAAAAAUGAAUCGAGUGUAGUUGUCUUUCCCAUUAAAAUAAUAAUGGUCUAGUUCUCUAGAGAUCUACAAAAAUUAUAUCAAAAAAAUCAAGUAUUAAGAUUUCAUUUAUAUAAAUAUAAAGUAAUUUGCAAAUUAUAUAAAAUUGUAUAAAAAAUAAAAUCUAAAAAUAUAUUAUAAAUAAUAAUUAUUUAGUAUUUACUAACAGUUAGCCUAGAAAAGGAAAAGCUUUUAUAGUUUUAUUCAAAAAUAAAAAAUUCAUAAAAAUUUAAAAUUUUGGAUCUACUAUUUUACUUCAUAUUCUCAAAUACUAAAAGUUUAAAAUCUAAUAAGUUGCCAUUUGAAAGUCCGACAAAUUUUUAAAAAAUUUUAAAAUUAAAAUUUAAAUACGAAUAAAUUAUCGUUAUUAUUAUAAUUAUUGAUCAUGAUCAAAGUAUCAAACAAUAUAUGGAUUAUGGACAACUCAAAUUAUUAAUAAAUAAUAAUCAAGAAGGUAAGAAGCAAAAUUGCAAUUUGCAAAUAUUAAAUAAUCCAAUACGGCAAUACCAAAUAGGCAAACACAAUUAUAUAUUAAUUAUGCAAAGCAAAUUAAAGUGCUAAAAUAUAAACAUUCUUAUUGAACUAAAAUAAUCUAAAAGGGAGAGAGAGAAUACCACCACGGCGCCACCGGUGUAAGGAUUUUAGGCUUUUAGCACGCCGCCGCAGUCCGCACCGUGGUUGAAUGGGGCGUGUGGGCGACUCGGCCCUACAAGGCUGCCACAGUGCGACGAGCGGACGAGAAAAAACUAAUUGCGGAGUGCGGCGGAGCCGCGGAGGGGCAUAGGCCGAGGUGCUGAGCCUAAGCGGCGAGGCGGGCAGGCGGCGAGCAGCACUGGCAGUCGGCGCGGCCGCGCGGCGGUCCAAGAGGCGAGAAAGAGGCCCGCGGAGCGGCGGAGGGGCAUAGGCCGAGGCGCCGAGGCGUCGAGCCCAAGCGGUGAGGCGGCGAGCAACACCGGCAGCGGUAAGCGGCGCGGCCGCUCGGCGGUCCAAGAGGCGGGAGGCCGGAGGCGACAGGGGAGGGAUUGAGAGAGUGAUGAAAAAGAAAACGAGAAAGAGAGAGAAGAGAGAGGGGGGGGGUUUACGUAAUUAGGCACUGUAACUUGUGACUUGUGAGAGAGCGUGGGCGGCACCGCGGCGGGGCGUCAAUCAUGAUGCAUCAGCCAUCAUGGCGUCUGGGUGGCGGGAGACUUGGCCCACAAGCAACUCUAUUGCCCACUGGCCACUUUGUAACAAAAUUACAUUUUGGCCCCCACACUUUAUAAAAUUUUAAUUUUUUCAGGAACUUAAUACUAGAGCUUAUUGUAAUUUUCAAAAUAUUGGGGGGGGGCCAUGGCCAUUGUGGGCCCCAAUAUGGCUCCGCCCCUGGACGCCGCAGUCCGCACCGUGGUUGAAUGGGGCGAGUGGGCGACUUGGCCCUACAAGGCUGCCACAGUGCGACGAGCGGACGAGAAAAAACUAACUGCGGAGUGCGGCGGAGUCGCGGAGGGGCAUAGGCCGAGGUGCUGAGCCUAAGCGGCGAGGCGGGCAGGCGGCGAGCAGCACUGGCAGUCGGCGCGGCCGCGCGGCGGUCCAAGAGGCGAGAAAGAGGCCCGCGGAGCGGCGGAGGGGCAUAGGCCGAGGCGCCGAGGCGUCGAGCCCAAGCGGUGAGGCGGCGAGCAACACCGGCAGCGGUAAGCGGCGCGGCCGCUCGGCGGUCCAAGAGGCGGGAGGCCGGAGGCGGCAGGGGAGGGAUUGAGAGAGUGAUGAAAAAGAGAACGAGAGAGAGAGAAGAGAGAGAGAAGAGAGAGAGAGGGGGGUUUACGUAAUUAGGCACUGUAACUUGUGACUUGUGAGAGAGCGUGGGCGGCGCCGUGGCGGGGCGUCAAUCAUGAUGCAUCAGCCAUCAUGGCGUCAUGCGUGGCGUGGAGACUUGGCCCACAAGACAACCCCAUUGCCCAUUGGCCACUUUGUAACAAAAUUACGUUUUGGCCCCCACACUUUAUAAAAUUUUAAUUUUUUCAGGAACUUAAUACUAGACCUAGUUGUAAUUUUCAAAAUGUUGGGGGGGCCAUGGCCAUUGUGGGCCCCAAUAUGGCUCCGCCCCUGGACGCCGCAGUCCGCACCGUGGUUGAAUGGGGCGAGUGGGCGACUUGGCCCUACAAGGCUGCCACAGUGCGACGAGCGGACGAGAAAAAACUAACUGCGGAGUGCGGCGGAGUCGCGGAGGGGCAUAGGCCGAGGUGCUGAGCCUAAGCGGCGAGGCGGGCAGGCGGCGAGCAGCACCGGCAGUCGGCGCGGCCGCGCGGCGGUCCAAGAGGCGAGAAAGAGGCCCGCGGAGCGGCGGAGGGGCAUAGGCCGAGGCGCCGAGGCGUCGAGCCCAAGCGGUGAGGCGGCGAGCAACACCGGCAGCGGUAAGCGGCGCGGCCGCUCGGCGGUCCAAGAGGCGGGAGGCCGGAGGCGGCAGGGGAGGGAUUGAGAGAGUGAUGAAAAAGAGAACGAGAGAGAGAGAAGAGAGAGAGAAGAGAGAGAGAGGGGGGUUUACGUAAUUAGGCACUGUAACUUGUGACUUGUGAGAGAGCGUGGGCGGCGCCGUGGCGGGGCGUCAAUCAUGAUGCAUCAGCCAUCAUGGCGUCAUGCGUGGCGUGGAGACUUGGCCCACAAGACAACCCCAUUGCCCAUUGGCCACUUUGUAACAAAAUUACGUUUUGGCCCCCACACUUUAUAAAAUUUUAAUUUUUUCAGGAACUUAAUACUAGACCUAGUUGUAAUUUUCAAAAUGUUGGGGGGGCCAUGGCCAUUGUGGGCCCCAAUAUGGCUCCGCCCCUGGAGUGAUGCUACCUGUGGAUUGGAUGGUAGGAGGGGUGGGAGGGGUGGAACGGAAGGAAAGAGAGAGAGAGAGAGAGAUGGCGAAAGAGGUACGGUGUUUGAUUUUGGAAGAAAAGGAAGAGAGAGAGAGAGAAAAAAAGAUGAGAAGAGUAAAGUGAGUUGGGAUUGUGAUUCUCUCUCUUGCUUUUUUCUUUGUUAACUGACGUUAGAGAGAGUCUCCCAUUUAAUCCCUCACUAGUUUGCACGAAUCUCAAAAAGCAUCUAAUGGUUAAAAAUACUAUAGCACAGGGGCUUCUAUACUAUGGAUAGUAUAGAAGCCCAACUCUAUAUAUAUAUCAUUGUUAUUACAUUUAAAACAAUACAUAUAUAUAUUAAUGAUUAACAAUAAUAAAUCAUCAGACUAUAAUUAAAGUAUAUGCUCCCCCAUCCAUUAAGUUAUACGAAGGAGUCAUGACCCCACGAGAGUGCUUCGAUUAUUCCUUUCUUGGGAAGCCAAACCAUGGUUAAUUAAUUCGUAAAUAAAUUCGUGAAUAAUUACGAAUUAUUCACGAAUUUUUGAAGAAACAAAUUACAUAGCUGCAUACGUAUUUUUUCAAAUAAUUCAAAAAAAAUAUUUUUUUUCAUCAAAAGUAAUUAUUAUUCCGAAUAAUUUGUGAAUAAUUUGCCCCCUCCCCCAAAAAAAAAAAACUACGCUCGCUCGGGGACUCGCGGCCAGGUCGCGGGCCUCGCAACUAAGCCCAAAACAGAGAAAAAAAAAACUUUCAGAAACGUUUCCGAAUCACCUCGCCCUUUCCCCCUCCCCCCAUAUAUUUUUUUGAAUUAUUCACGAAUUUUUGAAGAAACAAAUUAUAUAGCCGCGUACGUAUUUUUUCAAAUAAUUCAAAAAAAAUAGAAUUUUUUCAUCAAAAAAGUAAAAAUAUAAUUUUUUUCAUCAAAAAAGUAAUUAUUCUUCCGAAUAAUUUGCGAAUAAAAAAACUACGCUCGCUCGGGGACUCGCGGCCAGGUCGCGGGCCUCGCAACUAAGCCCAAAAAAAAAAAAAAAAAAACUUUCAGAAACGUUCCCGCAUCGCCUCGCCCUCCCCCCCUAAAAAAAUCACUCGAUCAAAAAGGUUUUGCCCUAUCUUCUCACCAGUCACCCCUGCGGCCCUGCCACCGACCCCAGCUCCCAGCCCCCAGCCCCCAGCCCUUCCCCUCCCCAUCUUCCCUUUUGGCCGCUCGCCGAACGCCAUCGGAAGCCCCCGCGGGUCCACAUCGAAGAUCGGGUUCUUCACUCUUCAGAAAUCAGAACCCUCCUCGUCGCCUCUUCCGCUUCCGCUUCCGCUUCCGCUUCCGCUUCCGCUUCCGCUUCCAACGAUGGGUCAGUAAUCGGAUGGUUCUUUACAAACCAUGUACGAAUAAGAGUUUGAAGAUGUCUAACUUUAAGAUUUCCUGCUCCUAACAUUUGUCUUAGAUUGUGUCAAGCUCCCAAGAUUUCCUGCUCCUAACUUUAAGAUUUCCUGCUCCUAACUUUAAGAUUUCCUGCAGCCAGAGAGUUAUCGUGGGGCCGCACACCGCUCGCCGUCGGAAUCCCCCGCGAGGCCGAGCACCACUCGCAAUCUGGUUCUAACUUCUAAGUUCCACAGUUCCACUUUAUCUGGUACAAAACUAUAAAUUUAUAUUUUUUAUGACUAUGAUUGGAGUUAAUAUUUGCUAUUAUAUCCAUGUUAAGUGGCUAUUAUAUGAAUGUUAAGUGCUAUUAUAUGCAUGUUAAGUUGUUGUUACUUGUUGUUACGUUCAUUAAUUUGCUUGUUGUUGUAUGAAGACUCAGAACCAAUGAAGUGGGAUUUAUUACUUAAGAGUUAGGUUAUACUUGAUGCAUGAUUGAUGGGUAAUUCUAAUAUUCUUUUGAUGUGAUUUUAUUCUUUCGAGAAUCCAUGAUAACUCUCGACCUUUUGUGGUUAAAUCAAGAGUCGGAGUUCGCUGAUUAUAAUUACUAAAGCUUUUUGUGCUUGUAUGCUUUAUGUUUAUUCAAGCUUUUAUGUAUGCUUAUAUGUGGAAUUGUGAACUUUAUGUAUCUUUUAUUUGUUUACUGUUUAGACUUUAGAUAUGCAAGUAUGCACUAUGCAAAGUGCAAGUUUUAUCUUAUAUUUAGUUUCCAACUAUGCUUGUACGUGAACCUUCUAUGUAGUGAACCUUCUAUGUAGUUUCCAACUAUGUGAACCUUCUAUGUAGUGAACCUUCUAUGUGAACCUUCUAUGUAUUUAGUUUCCCACUUGCUUGUAUGUGAACCUUCUAUGUUUUAUAUGUUUUAUUUAGUUUCCAACUAUGUAGUUUCCAACUAUCUUGUAUUUAGUUUCCAACUAUGCUUGUAUGUGAAUCUACUAUGCUUGUAUGUGAACCUUCUAUAUUUAUAUUUAAUUAUAUUUAGUUUCCAACUAUGUUUUAUAUUCAAUUAUUUAUUUAUUUUGAGGCAUAAUAUAGUUUGCUAUUUUUUUUUUUUACUUAAUUAGCUUAAUUUUGUAGCUCUUUAUUCUUAUAUUUUUAAGAAAUAUGAGUAUUUAUGCUAAUAGCAUAAAUUUUGAGAGAAAAAAAAACUUAAUUUAAUAGCCGAAUUUUUGAUCCCGAAUUUUUAAUUAGUGAACGUAUAAUAUCCGUAUAAAUCACGUAUCCGAAUAAUUGGCGAAUCUGUUUUUUAGCCGUAUUUUUCAACGAAUUUAAAAAUUAGAAGAUGAAUUUAUCCGAAUUAUAUCAGUACCGAAUUUUUGCCGAAUCCGAAUUAACUAACUAUGAGCCAAACUAAUCACAAUUUGGCCCUGUUUAGCAUUUCUUCCUAGAAGUGAUUUUGGGCUCAAAAUUACUUUUGGGCUUAGUAGAGCGUUUGACAACGGGAGUUUGAAAAUCUGAUUCUGCUUAUCAGAAUCAGAAAACUGAUUUUUCAACCCGUAGAAUCAGAUGCUAUAAAAAGCUACUUCUUCAAAACUGAUUUCCGCAAAAGCAGUUUUCCCACUUAAAAUUUUUUAUAAAAAUACCAAAAUUACCUCUAAACAAAUAAUACAAUUCUACUCUACUCUUUUAUAAUUAAUCUUUCAAACUACUAUCUUCUCUCUCCCAUCUCCUUCUACAGCCGACUCUCCACUCCAACAAAUUUUUUUUUUCACUUUCCUCUCCUCUCUCCUCCAUCUCUCUUCUUUCUUUCUCUUCGGCAACGUCUUUCUCUCUGGCGACGUCUUUCUCUCUGGCGACGCCUUUCUCUCCGGUGAGUCUUUUCUCUCAGGCAAACCUCCAAGGUACCCACACUUUUUUUUUUUAUGCAGAUUUCUCUCCUUCCCUCUCUUUCUUUCUUCAUCUGCUCAGCCUUUCUUUGUCGGAUCCGCACCGGCGGGAUCUGGCUUUGCUAGAUGAUCCAGCCCCUGAUCCGCACUGGCGGGAUCCAAAAAAGACGAAUCCCGCUAGCUUGGCCGGAUCCGCGCCGGCGGUGUCCAACUUUGCCGGAUCCGACCCCAGAUCCGUGUCGGCAGAUCCGAGAUCAAAGACGGAUCCCGCCGCGGCAAGAUCGGCAAAGACGGAUCUCGCCGCUUGACCGGAUCGCAAGAUUCAAGCCGGUGGGAUCCGGUAAAGACGCCUCCGACAAGGAUGGAUUUCAUGACACCAUAAUUUAUCUUCUAACUAUUUUUAUAAAACUACAAAAAGACCAACCUGCAUGAUAUUAUUUGCAAUCUUUUUUUGAUAAAUAUAUAUUGGCAAAUUAUAUAAUAUUUUUUUGCAACCUUUUUUGAUGUUUAAAUUAGAAAUUAGUUGUGUUUUGAUUAUUUGAUUAGUUUCUAAUAUGUAAUAUUUUAAAAAUUUAUUUAGUUUGUAGUAUUGUCUAGUUUGUAUGCGAUGUUUCGGUUAUUUUUUAUUUUGUAGUAUGCAGCUAUGGCACUUCCAGUGUUUGAAAGGCGGGGCGCAAAAAGGCGCAAGACUCUCCUGGGAGCCUAGGCGCGAGGCGCACUGCAGAAGCGCGCGCCUCAAGAAGGCGAUGCGGCACAUACAUUUAAUCUUGAUAUUCUACAUUAAAAAAACUCCAAAAUAACUAUACAAAACUAAAAUAACUAUAAAAAAGUAAAGAAAACACAUGCAUAUAGGUUCUCAAGUUAAAAAAAAUAUAUUUCGACUUUCAACUUAAAAGUGAUUGUGGUGCCAAUGUUUUCAUUUGGCCUCAAGAAGGAGGAGGGCGGUAAAAGAAGAGAGUGGUAGGAGGAGAGGGCGGUAGAUGGAUUUCAUUAGGGUUUUUUUAGGUUUCUUUUAGAUUCUUGUACUAAUCUUAUCGGGCUAAAACAUAAAACUUAUAUCCGAAACCCAAUUACCCGAAAACUUUAAUCCAAAAUCCAAAAAAUAUUAAAUAUGCCGAGGCGCGCGCCUUAUGUGGGCCUCGCGCCUCGCCUGAGGCGCGCGCCUUAGGGCCUAGGCACGCGCCUCAGCAAUAGCACCUCGCCUCGUUAUUGCUGAGGCGCGGAGGCUCGCGCCUCGCGCCUAGGCGCUGAGGCGCGCGCCUCGCGCCUAGGCGCUGAGGCGCGUGCCUCAGGCGCGCCUUUUCAAACACUGGGCACUUCACAACUUUAUUAGGAUGAGUUCGACGCAAGAUGAAGAGUUCAACAAAUGUGAUCAAGAUAUGAAUUAUAUGGCCAAUAUUGAAAAAGAUGAAAGCAGUACAAGUAGUUCGACACAGAUUUAUAGUGGAGUAACAGAUGAUUACAUCAUGACCCAAACUCGCGAUUGUAUUGCUGCCUCAUUGAAGAGCACAUUUAGAUAAAUUAUUAUCCUAAUAGAUAUUUAUAAUUAUACACUUUUGUUAUAUUAAAUAGUUAUUAAUAAUUUGAAAUAUUGACAUGUAAUAUUAAUUAGUUUUAAAAAUAACUAAUGUUAAACAACAUUACAAAAUCACUUUAGCAAAAAAAAUGCCAAAUAGUUUUCUAAAAUUACUUCAAUAAAAUUAUUUUUCUAUCAGAUAUAGCUAAACACUCUACAGUUUUUAAUAAAAAUUAUUUUUUAAAAUCAAAAUCAAUUAUAGAGAAAUCACUUUUUCAAAAUCUUGGGCAAACGGGCCUUCCUCAUGCGGACUCUUUCGCUACCCGAUUCCUCUGAUUGAAGUUCCCUCCCUCUCUUCAGUCCACAAACCAACGAUCCCCUGCUCCCCCCUUCGACCGCUUGAUUCCUCCACUCCGGAAAACCCUAGAGCGACCAGUUCCUUUCCCCUGCGAUCGCCCGAUUCCUCCGAUCGAUAGAUAAUCUUGGUACACUGCUCGAUAUCAUGUUGGAGCUAGGGUUUCUGGUUGGGAGAGGUAAUUUAUCUAAUCACCUUCAAUUUAGCAAUUAGUUUCAUCAUAUGUUUGGCUAUUUCACGAUUUGCUUUUGUUUCUCGUGAUUGUAUGAUGAACCCACUCUCUUGGUGAUUUCGUAUGUAUCUUUUCCGGCUUUUGCUCUUAUUAGAGACCACGAACCCUAGAUUCAUAUACCAUUGCUUUCUCGCGGAGACCGCGAAACCCUAGAGUUAGGUAUCAUUGCUCAACUAGAUCAGAUGGAUCUAAAGUCUAUGAUGAGGUUGCCUUGCCAAGGCAAUAUCAGAUAGGUGUCCCUCAGAUCCUAUCCUAAUUACUUCAUGUGGUUUAAUCCAAUUCAUUUUUUAUUUUUUUACUAACAUUACAUAUCUUUUGAUGACCGUUUUACUUUUAGCAACCAAUUUAUCCGUAUGUACUCUGCUUAGGGUUUUGCAAGAUGCAGAUGAUUGAUUACCAAACGAGUCAUUAGGACAGCUGUUGUGUCUUCUUACAGAAAGGUUUACGAUAGGAGCAUAAGAUAUUAUUAAGCUUAGUUAAUUUGGUCUCUUCUGUCUUUCUUCUACACUUCUUUGUUUUGAUAUGAUUUUUUAUUGUAUCUCUUAGUUUAGAAUUUGCAAGUAUGAUCUUCUAUUUAUUAUAUAGUUUUUAUUUUUACAAUACUUGAUUGCUCUUGAUAGUGCCCUGUGCAACUUUUUUUCUUUCAUAUGUACUUUCUGAACUUUGCAGUCCUUAUCAAAAUUUCUUUUUGUUAUUUUUCAAGUGAGUAAUAUUAUCUUCUUUUCAUUUCGAUUUGUAAUUAUACAUUCUCUUUUCUUUCUCACUUGAUAGUCCCUUUUCCUGCUAGUGAAAUAUUUGUUUCCAAUUGAAACAGACUUAAUAGAUUGGGCGGCAAAUAAAUUGUUAUUACUUAAUUUAGAUGGUUGUAGGGGAACACACUACUACUGCUAAUAUUUAGCUAGCCUAAAUUAACACGUAAAUUUAUAUUCAAUUUCAAAUAAUUGUUUGCAAGAAAAAAGAAAAGCUCUUUUCUCAAUCCUCCCUUGAAUUAAAGUUGACUUGCACCUCUGCGAUGGGAUUUUGGGGGGAUUCGAUUUUUGCUAUGUGAAUUCCUCAAACCAAACACCAUAAUGAGAGUCACUCAUUUUGAUUCUUUUUGCAUGCCUCAGACCUUUCAAACCAAACAAAACCCUAAAAGAGUGACUGUCUUACCUAAAUGAACUCAAGUUAUGAUAUGUUGACCGUGUCACACCUCGGGGUCUCUUUUGUAAGCCAUUUAGAAAUUGGGCUAUCUUUUGUAAAUCAGAGUCUGCGGAAAAGCACCUAUUUUUUUUAACCUUGACCCAGGGAUGUAACAGACCCGCUACAAAUACAGAAAAUUUUCAUUCCAGAUGGAUAGAGUUUCUCCUGUAUUUGUAUGGCGUAGGCCAAAGGGUCAACGGGUCAGGUUUUACUACAACUACUUGAAAUGCGUUUGGAUAACAUCCUUUUUCAAUUGGGUAUGGCUUCUUCGGGGAACGAUAACACACAAUGAUCAUCAUUUCACAAGUUUUCACAUUACACAAUUAGCUGUCCUUAGUCACCAGCAUUCCACAUCACUUUCGUUUUCAUUCGUAUUAGUUAAAAGCGCCUCCCACACGAAGGCUUCACUUUGAAACUCUAGUAUUCCCAAAAUCCACGCAACGCUAAAAACCGCUUUGAAGACCGUUUCUCACAUGGAAACUUUUAUUUUAGAAACAAGCUACCGCAAUGGGUAGAAAUUCAUUAUUUGCGAAAAUCACGAGUAUACUUUAAAAACUUCAUUUGAAAUCCAAAUCCAAAAUCUCACAUGCAGCCAAAAAUCUCACAAAUAUUCAAAAUUUACGGAUAUCAAGAUCCACGAGUAAAUCCACUGAACCACAACACUGUCUGAUUACUAACAAGUAUGCAAUAAGCAUCAAAUCAGAACUGAUAACGUAAGGUCGGGAUCUCUAUCUCACGCUAUCUAUAGCCUCACGCACCGUCCCAACCCUCACAGCCUGAGCUACCUGGAAAAAAGUAGGGAGUGAGAGCAUGUAAACAAGUCUCCUCCUCUUAGUGGGUACCGCAAGACAACGAAGGCAAGCUGUACAUACCGACAGAUGGAAAGGAUAAACAACAAUAGUAAUAAGUAAAUCGUGUAUAAUAACAAUGAAUAACAACCACCGAUAAUCACCAAAGAGGCUACUACUGUAAGGUGAGAUUAUAAAGUAACGACCAACUAUAAUCAACGGUUAAACUAGUGCAAUAGCAAUGAUAACUGAACUAAAAAUAACUAUGAUAAUGGUAUGGAUAACCACUACUGCAAAGGAAGAUAGAGAAAUGACUAUGGGCCAACUGCAACUGAUAGCACAAGUAUACCCAAUCAACUGUCGUUUGCCGUAUUGGUCUAAGGGCCUCAGGCAAUGCCAUUCCUGGUCUAAUUGGCAUAUGACUCUAGUAGUAGGCCGCUAGAGCUCAUGGGUCGGAUGUACGACCACCUUUCCGAAAAAGAACACACUCUUGUGGUGGAUCAGAUCGCUGGUGUACGUGAAAUGCUCACGAGCUGUGGCAAUCGAUGCAGUAUGCUUAAUGGCCAACAACGACAACAAGCCGAUAGAACAAUCCACAACCAUAUUUGACCAAAUCCGGUCUAAUAUUUCCGAAGGAAUGUCACUAUGUCACUGACAUAUCAGGUCUAUGUGCAAGUACAAAAUGUCAUUAAUGAUGAAGUCAUGGAACGAUAAUCAAUAACUGGAGUGUUACUCUACCACUAGAUCAAUUAUGAUACUGCAAGACGAAACAACCGUAGAUUAACGAGCACCAAGUAGUGUGUAAGAUACUGAGCAUAUAAUCAUGAUAAGCUAUGCAAAUCAAAGAGGAAAAAGAUAAGAAGUCACCGAGCAUGAGCCGCUGGACCUACUUCGGAUCGAAGUACCCACCUAUAUCAGCAGUCGGACCUAGCUCCCGAGGUGUGUAGAAUCAUCGACCGGACCUACGAUAGAUCCACCGAGUCAGGGUCCAAUCCUUUAGCCUCAAAACACAUCGCUCGCAAACCCCAAGUCGCUCGCGAAAUCGAUUUUCCGAAAUCGAUUCCUGAACUCGCCGAGAAUCCCGAAAACGCACCGGGAUGCCCCCAGGACCCACGAAACGUCCCGAAACACACCGAAUCAUGUUGUGAGUCACCCGCUGCCCCUGAAACACAUCCAAUUGAGUGUCCGGGCAGCAAACACUUGCACCAAGGUCAACUCGGUCGACACCGGUCGACCGUUUUGUUCCGAGCUUCCGGAAGUGUUCACUUUGGCACCGGAAGCCUCUGCCGCCCAUCGGCUGCCUUUGAACACACGAGGGGACCACGACGGCCAGCCAACGAGGCUAGGCGAUGAUUUCUGGGGCAACCACGUCGCCGAAAACUCAUCUCAACACGAAAUCGCGUUCUACUGGCGAUAUCAGCAAAACGCUCCGAAAUCCUACUUCCGAUUGCACGAGGGCUUCGAAAACUAGACAAUAAGUCCAGAGGGUCACAAUCAGUGACCACGCGCUGCCCGAGGCAGCCCACACAGCCAAUAUUGCGUUUAAACCCCUAAACAUUCCACAAUUCACAAAAUUGCAAUUUAGGGUUGUUACCAUAAUCCGUGUGCCAUUGGGAUGAAGCAAGAGUACCUAUGGACAGGUCUCGACGUGUCGGACACCGUGCUUGCUGUCCGAAGUGAGAACGACGUUCGAGGAGCGUGUUGGAGCUUCACGAAGUGCUGCGACAAACGCAUACCGGGAGCAAUGAUGACUGCGCAGUGAAAUGGAGUCUCUCUGGCAGGAUCCGAGGCGAGCAUGACGAUCAAUGAGGGUUAGAAAUUGUCGUGCUCCUUUCCGGAGGUUUGGGGACGCUUCGUGUGGCCUGAAAAAGCACAAAAGGGCAAAAGAGCCCUAGUUCAAGGGUGUAGGGAGCACCAUGGUUCCGGUCGGCAGCUCGGCGGCGUGCGUGGGCCUUGGUCGGGCGCGAAGGGGUAGGGGAGCCUCGUGCUCCCCUCAGCCGGCGCUGGAAGCGGCGGUAGCGGCGCCUCAGGAAGGCCUGGCCCGCAGGGCUAGGGCUAGUGCUAGGGCUCGGGUGGUGGCGGUAGUGGCCGGGGAAGCCACGGGGCAGCGGCAACGACUCGCCUGAGGCCGGAGGGAGGCGGCGGUGAUGGCCUGAGGCGGCGGCGGCGGCGGCGGCGGCGCGGCAGAGACAGGGCCUCCCUCUACCCAGAUCUGCACCGAGAGGAGCUUGAUGGCCGCGGCGGCGCUCGACAGUGCUGGGGCCGUUGGGGAGGGUCGCCGGAGGUCCCUGCUAUGUGGGGCAAGGCCCGAGGGGGUGUGUGGCCUCUUCCUAGAGCUUCGGUUCCAGAGAGUGAGAGAGGGGGUUCAGGGAGAGAUUAAGGGAAAGAGAGAGAGUGAGGUGGCCGGCUGGAUUUGGGUAGCUAGCGGCCGGGGAGGGGCGUGGUGCACUUUGAGAAGAGAGAGGGUGUCGGCUGAGUGUGAAUGGGUCGAGAACAGAGUUAGGGUUAGGGUUAGGGUUAGGGUUAGGGUUGGGAGAAGAGAAACCCUUAGUGGGUGUUUAGGCCUCAAGUGGUAAUUUUGCGAAAAAGCCCAUGAAUUCCAACAAUUCUUAAUCCAGCCCUUCACGGCACGCGUAAAACACAGAAUGACACCCCCAUGUGCGAUUUCGUGCAAUUUGGAACAUAAACUAUUGGGGGAUUCUCCAAAAUUCGAUUUUCCCUAUUUCGACCGUUCCUUGGUUUUCGCGCAAUUGCGGUAAAUCUAUCCAUCAGAUUUAUGAACGGACUGCUUUGGUGCGUUUAGCACUGCCGGACCUUGGAGAUCACGUUUUUGUUUCGCGAGUCACGGAUUUGUAUCAAACCCCACACACACACACACACACACACACACACACACACACAUAUAUAUCCCAGAUAUAUAAAUUCGAAAUUUGAAUUCAAAUUCAAUUUCUUAUUUGAAUUCCUCAUUUCAAAAUAUCCCAGAUUUUACAGACCGACCUAAUAUGACUAUGCAAAUCAAGUUGACUCUUAAUACACACUAAAUUUAGUGAUCACCCACUUAAUCUUUUAUAAGCAAGGCUAACUCUUAAUAGAUACUAAACUCAUUGCUACACCAUUUAGUAAUUCGACCCAAUUACAUGAAUUGAGAUACAAAUUGUCAAAUUGAGAUUCGAAUCACACAGUUAUUUCAAUACUUGAACCAAAUUUACUCCAUUACUCCUAUUCCAAAAUAAAAUCAUUAUUUAAUCAUUUUCUUGUGAUUCAGCUGUGUCAUCUGAUAAUUAUUUAACUUUGGUGUUGAAGUAACUUUUGAUUUUUCAAGUGCAAUAUUUAACUUAUGCACUUACGCCUUUUCUAACUUUGGAUUUAAAAUCUAGUACCAAAUUGAUGAACUUGUGGUUACUAUUUUAUGUUCCAUAAUAUUUUUGGAAAAACUUCAACUAAUUUGUCUUUGACGGUUUGAACAUUCUGUGGUAAUUUCAAACUUGAUAGCGAUUGCGAACGGAAAUCACUAUAGAACUUUACAUGCAUCAUGUCACUUGCAUCACUCACAUGCAUCACAUAUUCAAAUGCAUCGUUUCACCAGCAUCACUUCAUAUGCAUCAUUUCACAUGUAUCACGUCACAUGCAUCAUAUAUUCACAUGCAUCAUUUCACCAGCAUCACUUUAUAUAUGCAUCACGUAAAAAAUAACCCAAGUUCCUCAAGCCAGUAAAAGAGUGUCACCAGAUUCUAAAGCUAUAGUUAGGAAAGGCACAAGUUACUCCAAAUGUUGAACUUUGCAAAAGAAAGAAAAAAGAAAAAAAAAAUCAAAAGAUAUUUCCAAACCAAAUAUGAAAUAGUUUUAGUUUUGUUUCGCAUAACCAAAGCUGAAAUAGUUGUAGUUUUGCUCUGCAUUUGUUUUUGUGAUACAAUCAAGUAGUAGGAUCAAUUUGGUUCAGAUAUUGGAGUUACAUACUAUUUGAAUCUUAAUUUGAUAAUUUGUAUAUGAGUUCCUGUGAUCGCGUUUAAUUAUUAAGGGUGUUAGCACUGUGCUUAGUAUAUCUUAAGAGUCGAGCUUAUAAUUUGAGUUUAGUGGAUAUUUAAUGUAAUGGCAUUACUUGUUAUUUAGUUGGUGCAUUGUGCUUGAUUUUGUUUGUCAAUUAAAAGACAUGAGAAAAGAGAGGAAACUGACCCUCUUCAACGGCUUUUAGUUUGCAUUUUGCUUAUUCAUACGAGUGAUUUAUAUAGCUUAGGAGAAUCUAUAUGUAAAAGUGCAAUUGUUCUGGUGGGUAAUGUUGGACUAUCUGGAUUCCGAGUACCAUGUCACUGAAGUUUCACCUGUUGUUGUGUGAAUAUUGGAUGACCUGUUUAUGGGACAGUUUCACUACUUAACGCUUUGAUCCAGCCCGGCCCUUAAAUCCGGGUCCAAAUGUAGGCCUAAAGCCAGGAAGCUACACGUCUUGGGCUUCACAUGCUUAGUAUGAAGUUUGGGCGAGCUUAGCAUCAGUGGAUUCUAGCUCUGGCUGGUUUUAAUAGUUUCUUUUAACAUGGCUCGUUUGAAAAUCUGGGCCUCAAUAUAGGACCAAGGCAGGGAUUCUUCGGCUUUACGGGUUUAGUAUUAAAUUUUCUUUUUGGAGAGCCAUUGGAUAAUAAUUUUCGUUCUCAAUUUAGUUUGCCUAGUUAAUCUUGACUUUUGUGUUAGCUGGUUUUGUUAGGUUAAAAUAUGUAACAACUCAUAAUAACGCAUAUUUGGUGUGAUUCGAAGUUUUACACCCUAUUUGCCAACGCCCAAAUCGCUAAACUGGUUGGGUUCGAUCUCAAUAUUCCUUAUUUCCAUUGUUUGGAAAUUUAUUACUCUAUGAUUUGAAUUGAUUUGCACUGAUUUUGGGUGGAUUUUCAUAGGUGUACAAGAAAUGAUUCAGAGGCAGGAUAUACUGUACUUUUCAUAUCUUUUUUUAAUCCAAAGCUUUUUAUUACCUCAAGGUCUUUUGAGUUAAAAAAAUUGUCAAAUUGCUGAAUAAUGUGUAAAUGAUUAAAUUAAGUAGUUGGUAUCUCUUUUAGCGUAGUUUUUUUUCUUUUUAUUUCAUUUGCAUAUUCUACGUUUAUUUUACUUUCUUUCUCUUUAUCCCCUCAUGUUACCUACCUUUCAUCAUUCUCAGUUUUCUCCUCUAUCUUUUAAUUUUUUAUUAUUUAAAGUCUCUAAGACAUCCAAUGGUUUUUUUAUGUUAUUAUUUUCUAUUUUGCUACACAUUUUAUAUAAUAGUUGUUUCUUGUUUUUAAAAAAUAUUCUUGUAUUUCCUCCUUAUUUUUAUAUAAAUUUUUUUGUUGCUGAUUCAGAAAUCCUUAUUCCUCUAGUAAGUUUUUGGAAUCUUUUGUUUUCACUUUCUUUUUCUAGUUCUUUGGUGUUUCGGUUCUUUCUUUCUUUUUUUUUUUUUCUAAGCAAUGUAUUUCCUAUCUUUAGGAAGUUUUGCCCUUGGUUUCUUUCCUAUCUAGUAAGUUUUGCUAUUGCUUCAUAGUGUAAUAUUGUGUACCUGCUUUUCUUUUUGCCUCUUACCUCAUAAAAUAACACACGAUAUUGUUCACCCAAAACUAGCUUCCUGAGAGAGACUUCUUUUUUUUCCGGUUGCCUUUGUUGCCUUUUCGUGUCCUUGGAUAUAAAUUUUCUUACGUCAAAGCAAAAGGAAGUUCUCUUGUUCAUCCCUUAUUGAAUUUAUUUAAUUUUAUGCUGAAUGUUAUUACAUAUUACUUUUGUUUCUUUUGUUUUUCUCAUUUUAUUCUUGCUACUUUUUCGCUCUCUUAUCUGCUGAUUAUUUAUCUUGAUGCUUCUGUAUGUGCAUUAUGGGUUUUUUUUAAGAGUAAAGAGUGGUUAAUAUGUAUUAUCAUGGACACAAUUUUCUAUGUUAGUUGUAUAAGUGAUUGUUGUUGAUCUUAUUUAUGAAAUUAUGUUCCGAUAUUUGUUAGUGUCUUCUUCCAAUUCAAUCUUCACUUUACAUAUAUAUCCAUUUAAUGUUUUGAAUUAACCAGAUCCUUCUAUUUUCAUCAUGUUUACUUUCAUUUCUUAUUUCUCCUUUUGUUUGUUCUUCCUCCUUUUGUUCUUUUCUAUUUUUUGCCUUUAUUUUCACUCUCUGUUUGGGUGGUACAAUCGUUCUUUAGAGCAAAGCUAAGAAGUUAUACGCUAAUUUAUAUGAGGUGAUUUAUCUUAUUUAAAAAAAAUAACUUGAAUGCUGAAUAUAAGAUCUAAUUUUAAAUAUUUGAUAACAUUUCUUGUCAUUUAAAUGUACAAAUUUAUAUGAGGUGAUUUAUCUUGUUUAAAAAAAUAACUUGAAUGCUGAAUAUAAGAUCUAAUUUUAAAUAUUUGAUAACAUUUCUUGUCAUUUAAAUGUACAAAUUAAGAGGGUAUACUGAAUAAGAUAUUUAUGCAUCCAAAUAGGGUCUAAGGGAAAUAGAUUAUUGAAGUGAGGAAUCUUAACAGUAGCUUACAAUUCUUUUACUGAACUCAAUUUGUGCAACAACGAAGGGCGUAAAUCCAGUUGCUUGCUUUCUUUUUAAAUCUAUUUUAUGAUACUUAAAGUAUCAUAAAAAUAGAUUGUAACUGAUUCUUUUAAAUCUAUUUUUUAAAAAAUGAAAUUAAAUGUAACAGAUAUAUAUAUUUUAUGAUACUUAUCAUAAAAAUAGAUUUAUUAUAUUAAAUUAUAAUUUUAAAUUAUUAUAAAUAAAAAUUUUAAUAUAAAUGUAUGAUGGAGGCAGUAGUAUCAGUACAUAGAAUAAUUUCCCGAAACCCUUCUUGCUUUCUGUUGUCCGGAUCAGUCGCCAAGCGCUCGCUCUGCCCGCACGAUCUUCUCCUCUCCUUUUCAAAGUAUUCCUUUUCUGUCCUUUUGUUACAAAACCUUCGCGCGUCUCCACUUCACUACUAGUUUUGUGCACAAUCUCUUUAUUUGAUCUUAUUGAGGUUUGCGAACUAUGGGAGAUCGAUCGCUGUGGAACUUGUUCAAAUCGUUUCGUAAAAUUACACAAUUUUCUGUUUUGUUUAAUGUUUUGUUUUUCCUUUGGAGAGUUAGGAGAAUUUAAAUGCAAUAUGUGCACAGGUUCAUGGGCUUUUUUUUCCUUUUUCUGAUGAAGAUCAGAGCACCAUCAUUGUGCCUGAGGAAAAACUUAGAAAUUUAUUAUUUUGAUCAUGUUAUGAUUUUUUUUUCUGGAUCCUAUUUUCAGUAAUAAGUUAUCUUUGUGUAGGGCCCUAGUAAUAUGGCUUCGCAUUAUCAAGCUGCUUUAUUGGUUGCUUCUCCAUCGUAUCCAAACUCCAUUGCUUGGUCGAACGAAAAUUUGGUGGCUAUUGCAUCAGGCCAUAUCAUUACUAUAUUGGUAUGCAAACAUUGUUAACCUUGCAUUACAUAGUAUUUUACAUUUAUGUUCUUAAAUGUUGUUAAAUUGCUUUAUUUGUUAUUUAUCUUGCACGCAUGUUGUGCUCUUGCUAGAACCCAGCUUUGCAUGCGGGUCCUCGAGGUCUCAUUACGCUUCAUCCUGAUAAGCCAUUUCCUAUAGGAGUUGUUGACAAAGAAGGUUGCAUCCUUUCUUUCAAUUUUUACUCUCUUUUUUUUCUUUUUUUUUUUCCUCUUUAUACAUAACUUUGUCAAAUAAUUGGGUUUUGCGAGAAUGUAGUUACUUUUCGGCCUAUUGUUUACAUCGUCACUUGAUAUGAAAUUUUGCAGAUCUUCUUAGUCCAUGUUUAAUGCCUACAAGUUUGUCCCGUGAUGUUCGUCCAUGUGCUCGGUCGAUUUCGUGGUCUCAACCGGGUUUUGCAUCUAACUCGGGGUAAACACAAUUUCGUCAACCUUCAUGACUCUUGAAAUUGCAUAAGAUUUUGCUGGUUUGUUGAAUUUGGUUUUUUGGUAUUUAUAUAUGACUCACUUUAGAUGCUUGCUGGCUGUUUGCACCACUGGAGGUCAUGUGAAGUUAUAUCGCGCUCCUUUUUGUGAAUUUACUGCUGAAUGGAUUGAGGUAUCCAUUAUAUUUGAAUUUCUCAUUAUAAAUGUUAAUAUUGCGUUCCAUCCUUUUGAAUAGACACAAAAAUAAUCAUAUCCAUAACUCUCUUGCUUAUGAUAGGUUGUGGACAUCUCCGAGUUGCUUUUUAAGCAUCUAGAAAGUACUGAGUUUGGAGAGCAUAAUGCUUCUGAAUUUCAUCAGAAGGUUAGUUCUUUAAUAGUCUUUUUUAAUUUCCUAAAUAAACAUGCUACUGCAUCUAACCGUUUCAUCAAAUAGAUAGUAGCUUCUGAGAGUUCUCUGUGUUCUGUCUCUUUCUUGCCAUGAAAAUUCUUUUCAUCUUGUACCAAAAGCAAGGCAGCACAGGCUGCACAACAGGGAGAGGUUGCGCUGAAGAGUUGGAAGAAUCUCUUUCCAGUAAGGGCUCUGGACGAAGAAAAAGAAAGACUUUAGGCAAAAGGUCAAUUUUCACCUUUUAUUUGGUAUUCAUGCAUUUUGCCUAUAUAUGAAUAUGAUAUGUGGGAAUAGUCUUAAUGUAUAGUCUAUAUGUCGUAUUGAUCUUGGGAGCUGCAUACAUCUUUCUUGAGGUUUACUAACAUUAGUUGCUUUUGUGAGGAUUGGUGACCCUUUUUCUUACAUAUAUUAUUAGAAACCAUAGCGUAGUCUGAUCUAAGCAAACUGCAAGUUAUUAUUUAUGUCCUAAUGUCUAGGUUUAUUUGUGAGAAUUAUUGAAUUUUUUGUUUCAGACUGACAAGUUCCUUUUCAAAUUCAUAUUAUGUUUUCUUUUGGUCACUUUUAUCUCUCUUAUUCAAUGUUAAAUGAUUGUAUAUAGGCAUUACCUAAAUUAUAUAUUAGCAUUGUCAUCUUAUCUAGGGUUGUACUAUAGAUUCAGACAUAUUCAUUGUCUUUCCUAUUUUUUUUUUUAAAUUUAUUCUCUUAUCAAACAUUAAAUUUUGUAGAGAUGGGGCCAAUGAAGAAUUUGUAGAACUCUCUUAUUGUUCAAAGAAGGCGAAAUUAAGGGAUAAAGGUGGUCGUCUUGCAGCAUCCAAUACGGCUACUCCAAAUAAGGUAUCCAUGUGUUCUCUUCCUGAUUUUGCUUUCACCGGUAAUGCUUUGAAGGGGAUAAAAAAUUUUGAGUCAUGCAGCGAAAAGUACAUCAGUUGUUUGUUGGGGGUGUGAAUAUUUCUGGUUGGUGGUUCAUUUUGUAAAUGACAUGUUAUCUCAGGUCAUUGAGGUUGAAUCUGGAACUUUCGUGGUGAAUGAUCAAAGUUUGCCAUCAAGAGUUAAGGGAAGAUCAUCUUUGAAUGGAGAAAACAAUUCCUUUCCUCUAAUUACAGCAAAGCAGUAUGCAUCUCGUAGUGCUUUACUAUCAUCCCUCGUAGUGGCAUGGUCUCCAGUUGUAACAUUAUGCGGAAGCAAAUGUGCUAUUUUAGCUGUUGGAGCUAAGUCCGGUAAUAUUUCUUUUUGGAAAAUUUGCACACCACAAUUCUACACAGUGGAGCAUGAUGGAGUUCCAGCUGAUGCAAUACUCAUCGGGCUUCUUCAGGCGCAUAGUGCAUGGAUAACAGCAAUUAGUUGGGGAGUUGCCACUUCAAGUUGCUUAAAGUCCCAGUUAGCUGUGGCUACUGGUAGUUGUGACGGAAGGUGAUUUUUUCUUUUUUCCUACCGUUUUGCGACUUUUGUCCUUCUCUUCACUUCUUCUUUCUAGUAUUUGCUAGGCUCUUUUUAAUCUAUAUUUUUCUUUUCAAAAAAAAAACACAGCGUGAAGAUAUGGUUGGGAGAUGUUCAAAGACUAGUUCAAUCUACAGAGGCAACCAAUAGGUCCUUUUCCUUACUAACUGAGGUAAAUUUUUUUAUGCAUACCACUCUCAUGACUACAGAGCAUGUACAUGCGAACCAUAUUUUGUUAGAACUAAUCUUAUGAGCUAAGAAAAUAGAUUGCGUAUAUAGGAAAAAAGAAAUUGUAGUAGUCAGUCCGCUCACCCCCUCCCUUUAUUAUAUGGUUUGUGCCAGAUGUUAUAUGCUGAUGAGGAGUAACCAAGAAAACAACCCCAGUUUUCAUUAGUAGAUGUUAUACCCUGGUUAGCAGUCAUCUGUUAUUUGUGGACUUGAAUUCAACGUCCCAUUUUAACUCCUCUCAUCUUCAACAGGUCACAAAUGCUACAUCAGCCCCAGUUUCAACAAUUUCGUUGAUUGUGCAAGCUCAAUCUCAAGAUAAAAUUAUUUUGGCAAUUGGAAGAGGAUCUGGAUCACUUGAAACGUGGAUAUAUUGCCUAUCUAGCAACAAAAUUCAAUGUGCUGGCAUUUCUGAAGCACAUGAUCAAGUGGUAUAUGUACAAUUUGAUGAAGUUAGAUGUCAUUGAACUCAUAUUUACAGUGCCGACCUGUAUACUUUUUUGCAGGUGACCGGUCUAGCUUGGGCUUUUGAUGGUCAUUGUUUGUACAGCUGCAGCCAGGUUACUUUACAUUCAUUAAUCAUCAAACAUAUGUUAUUGACUAGUAUCUGUUUGUAAUUUUUUUGCUUCAAAAGAAAAAAGAAAAUACAUUGUAGCUUUGAGAUAGCACACGUCAAAUUACAAGUCUAGUGGAAUUGUAUUAGGGCAUAUAUAUAGUACAUCUUUGCUGGUUUACUGACUCAAGUUCAUACCUUGACAAUAGGACAAUUCUGUGCGUAGUUGGACUUUACAUGGAAGUCGUCAACGCCAAGUUCCUUUCCCUUCAAAUUUUCCAGGCAUAAAAAAUUCAACAAAUGUACAUCAUUUAGGUUUAUUUUCCUGCUAUUCUUGAUUUCCAUCUUUUCCCCUUUUCUUAUGGAGUAUGAAACUCAUAUGCAGCUCUCACAAGUAUCUGACCAAUGCUUUGGCCUUGCACUUGCUCCUGGAGAAUUGAUGGUUGCUGUGGUGAGCUCAAUCUCUCAGAAGAUCGCUUCCGUAUUUAUAUUUUCUGCUAUUUAUUUAUGUUCUUUAGACACGCAUAAACGCGAAAGGAGUUGGUUCCAAUCUUUAUAUAUCGUGUCGAUAGUUUUUUAUUUACUUUGCAUUUAAAUCAUGAUCUAACAAGAUCAUUACACUUCAGGUUCGCAGUUUGGAGACUAAUCUUUUGAACCAAAUGUAUCAAGCCAGGUGAUUGAUUUCUCUAGGAGUAUUUAAACUUAUGAUAGUAUGUGAUCCAUUAGUACUUUGGAGACAUUUUGUGGUAACGUGAUGUAUAAAUAAAACUGCUGAAACUAAAAUUUUCUUGUUGGUGUUACUCAGAACUCAGAGAGCGGUGGUUGAGUUUUUCUGGACUGGAGGACAGCUCCUUGAACCAUUGGAGAAAAACGUUAGUUGUGGUAGUAAACCCUCAGAAUUAUCCAAAAGGGAGUUGCAGUGUUGGGAAUGCAACAUUUUGUGGUCUUUAAAGAAUUUUGAGAAUGGCGAUAAGCUACCUGUCCUAUGGGACACUAUAGCUGCAUUGCUAGUCCUUAAGAAGUUGGCACCUACUUUUGUUCGAGACUUGCUCUCAAAGUGGAUCUCAAGUUGGUUUCCUGAGAAGCAAGAAAGCGGAUAUAUGGAGAAGACCUUGUUGCAUGUUCAAAACAUGUUGUCCGUGAUAAGUUCUCGCAGAAUACACCUCCUCAACAUAAUCUCUAGAAGAUUAAUGCCAAGAAAGGAAAAGGCUGAGGUACCUAAAUGGGAGCAGCAUAACUUCAGUGAUAAAACCUAUGUUGAAGGAGAGACGGAAUUGUGGCAUAAUUUUCUUGUCAAUAGUGAAAGAGAGCUGACAGAGAGGCUUGUUGCUUCAACUUUUACUACUGUUCUAAGUCGUGCAGCUCUUUCGCCCGAUUCUUUUUCCGUUGACACAAGCUGGUUCCCAAUUGGAGUGGCUCAAAUGGAGCAGUGGGUUGCCAUCAACAGUAAAGUAGUGCACAAUCAGCUUAAAGUACUUGGAUCAAAAUUUAAAGAACUAGGAACAAGGUGUUUGUAUUUCUUACCUCAUCAAUUAUUUAAAUGGCUUUUCAUUUCCUCCCAAUUUAUAAGACAGCCUACUUUUUCAUCCACAAUUGAAAUAUUCAGCUUAAAUCAAUUUCUUUCUUUCAUAUACUUGUGUUCUAAUAUCUGAAUUUAUCUUUAAUCAUCUAGGAUCGAUUCGGUAUGUGAAUACUCAAAGAGUGAGGUAUGCAGCUUCUGCACUGGCCCAGUUCAGUUUAAAUCCCCAGAUGUUGCCUCUUGUGAAGGCCGCAAAGUCGAAGGUGGGGAAGUCGAAAGCCAUAAAUUAUCGAGAUGUGCCGUUUCGAUGAAGCUGUGUUCUAUCACGGAGCCAAUGUGGUUUUGCUGUUGUUGCAAUCGGUGGAUCAAUAAAUUGGCCCCUCAAGCCAUCUUUACCAUGCCUAGCUCUCCAUUAGAUGUAAAUUGUGGUUGCGGAUCUUUUGAUCUGGAUGAAGUUUGUUUACCGUUGUGCCCUUUCUGCGGCAUAUUGUUACAGAGAUCGAUGCCGGAGUUUUUGCUGUCAGUUUGCCCGGUAUAAAAACUAGCUUGAGGAUUUCUCAAAUGAAAUGGUUACAAAUUGAAAAAGGGCCGAGGUGCUAUUUGAAAAUAUUCUGCAGUUGAGGGGGGAUCGAUUUGCGCUUUUACCGAGCAAAAACAAGCAGCUGCAGGGAGGGAGGAGGGAAGAGGGAGAUGAAUGAGACGAGCGCAACAGCAAGCGAUCCCCACGCGUGCGCGCAGGAGCGAGAGGGGGUGGUGGGGGGGAGAAGGGAGAGGAAGGAGACGGAGACCAGCGCAUCGGCAAGCAAUUCUAGGCAACUGUCGACAGCAAGUCCCUACGUGUUGCCGAAGAUCUCCCCUUAGGAUCUCCCCGUCGACUAUGCUGGAUUCCUCGUCGUCGUCGUCUUCGGCUUCUCUGGUGUCAUGUUCCGAAUAUGUGAAUAUCUUCGCUCUAGAUCUCUCUCAGAUCCGAAAAUAUCAGUGAUUCAUCAAUUAAGAUAAUGGAUGCCUUAGUGUUUUGUAUGUCUUGUGAUUUUAUUUGUGUCAUGCCCCAAGGCCCUUUCAGAAGCCUUUUUUUAAUAAAAAGGUAAAAAUUGAAAAACAGUCCAAGGGGAAAAAUGCUUUUUUUUUUUUUUUUUUUGGAAACACCUUGCCCACAAGACGGAUAGAUCUGCCACAAAUACUAGAAUUUCUCGAGUAUUUUUUGUAUUUGCAUGGCGUAUCAACUUGCUGCGUACGACAGCCAACAAUCUACACUCACAAAGAUCUAAUUAAAUGAUGUAAACUGCCCAUCCGCCAAACAUAGAAAUUUAUUUAUUAUUUGGAAGUGUUUCUCAUAUGAAAAUUUUAUUUUAAAACUAGGGAUUUACGAAAAAGUUGAAAAUCUUUUAAAAAUUAUUUCUCACAUGAAAUUUUAACCUUUUUGAAAAAUGACUAUCACGAAGGAUAGAAAACUUUUCUGCUAUAAAUUCACAAUACAAAAAUCAACAACUUAAUUAGAGCUAGGCUGGAAUACUAUCAAUAGUGGUGCUAUUAGUUUUUUAGUCCUUGGAUUGAGAAAUAUGUAGUUAUGAUGAUGUGGGACCCCUAGGGUUGAGUGGGUGGUUGGUUAAAUAGUAUAAUCUAACGGAUAAAAAUAAUCAAAGGGGUUAAUCUAACGGCAGAAAAUUUGAUAGCACAAAGUACUUGGUGCUAUCUAUAAUAUAGCAGCCGAACUUAUUUAAUUAAUCCAAAGAAAAAUAAACUUAACUGAACAAUUUCAAUAUAGAACUUAUUUAACGAAUUACCAUAAAUGGGUACAGAAAGAGAUAAUUAGAAUCAAUCAAUGGAUAUGCACGUGACCACCAGAGCUCACUAGCUACACUGCACCUCACGCAUCAUUCUGACCCUCACCGCUUAUGUCACCUGUAAAAAUAGGAGGUGAGAAACUAACAUGAGCUUUCCCAGUGGGUAUCGCAAGCCAAUGAGGACAAGUUAUACUCAUCGAAAAAUGAGAGAGUAAUCGAUUGUAGUGAAGAGGUACAACAAAUACAAUAACAAUAAUGAGUUGAAAGAUAAUAAUCAAGUGUAAAUAGAAAUACGAUUAACCGCUACUGAAAUGUAAAACAAAAUGCAAAUAUGCAUCAACUGGAUGGAUAGUUGAAAAAUGCCUUAUCAACCUAUCAUGUUGGUCUAAAGAUCUUAGGCAAUGUCAUAUCGCGCUCAACCACCUAGUAUAUAACCCUAGCAAAGUAACCGCAUUGGGCUCAUGGGUCAGAAGUAUAUACCAAACGACGGGGCGUAAUAAUGUCAUAGUGCAGAUUUUGUACAUUAUAAAGUCCAAUUUCGGCAUUAAAAUUCUCUACAUGCAAGUUUAAGGAGUUCUAACUUAGGAAGGCAGCAUCUCACGGUAGAAUUGAGGUUUCCAAUCUAAAAUUUGACAAAAGGUAGAUCAUCCUACCUUUCUAUCAGCUGGAAGUGAAGUCCCCCCCCAAGUUUCUUAGCUUCAAUACAGGUGGAGAAGUCGAAGUAAUCACAGCUCCAAACAAGAAACUUGCUGGAAAAGGAAUUGGAUUCAAAAAUUCAUUGGAAACCCAAUUUGGGUCCGAGAACUUGUUAUAUUUGGUUUAGAUUUGUAGUUAUCUAAAUUGGAGUUAAAUCCUAAUCUAAUUAGGAUUAUAUAUAAUUUAGAUUUAAUUUGGCAUAUAUGGAUUAUGAGUCGGAAUCUAAUUUCUAAUUGAAUUAGGAUUAGACUCUACUUAGGAGACAUGUAUUAUAAAUACAUGCUACGGCCAAAUUAAUUGCCGCGACUCAAAUUAAGAGAGCCAUGCAAAAUUAAUUAAGUUAUUGGUGGCCUGCCGUGCUCUAAUUAGAGGCAAACUCUAAUGACGCCGCAUCUAUGCUAAUUCUGUACGGUGGCAGCAACAUGAGCCGAGGGAGUUGGAGCUCUAAUUAGUUGAGUAUCUGAGAAGGAGCCGCACAUGCCAUGCUAAUUAAUUAAGGUGUUGUUCCGUACGGUUUGAGGCGCCGGUGACUAAUCAGAGGCCAUGCACUAAUUAGUGCUAAUUUGGAAUCCGUACAGAUUGGGUUGAGAGAAGCUCUUUUUCGGAGUUGCUUGUUGCGGCGUUUCGGAUCUAAUUAAGUUUUGGUCUUUUGAGAGAUCUUCUUUGUACUCCGCCUUUUCGACAUUAAUAAAUUAUUUGCUCCGUCUUCGCCCGUGGACGUAGGCCGUUGGCCGAACCACGUAAAUAUCGGUGUGUUCUUUCCGCUUAUCUUUUCUUUUCUUGCAUUAAAUUAUUUUCUGGAUCUAUUUUUCGCCGUUCCGAUUUUAACAGAACUCAAAUUAACUAAUAAUCUCAGUUUACUAACUUGUAAUUUAGGUAGAUGUAGCUCCAAAAUCACCAGAAGUGAAUAAAAAACUAACAAGAAUCCAGCAAAUCCUCAGCUAGAAAGAAUCAGAUCGAGAAAAACCAUCAAAUCCCAAUAGCACUCCAAAUCAGCACAAUUCUCAAAUUUGCUCCAAUUUAGAGCUAUUUACCUGGAAACGAGAUGCUAGGAUUGCUCCACAAUCUCUUCGUUUUCUACUACAAUCACGAAUCAACACCUCAGCAGCAAUUGGAAGCCUCAAAACAGCCCAAGAUUCUAAACUGUUGCAGCUGCUGUUGCUGUUCUUGCUGUCUUGCUGCACUCGCAGGGAAGAGGGAGGAGGAAGGAAGAAAAUUGAAGGAGAAUUGAUAGAGAAUUGGAGUUCACAGUGGAAGGGAAAUGUAAAAGGGUCACUUGGGGUCGCAGGAGUUACUUUAUAGAAGAAAUGAUUGGAUAAAAUGAGCCCACGGAUCAAAAGUUUCUUAAACUAUAGGAAUUUAAAUGAAGAGAUUUAAUUCCUAUAGUUACUUUAAAUUAUAGGAAUUUAAAAGUUUAUUGAACAUAUUAAAUACAUUGAAUUAAAAUAUUUACCAACAUUACAAAAUUUUUAAAUAGUAAUGCAAAUUAAAUUCUUCUAACUUAAAUUUAAUAUUUUAAUUUUAAUUAUUUAAUAUUUUAAUAUUUAAAUUCAACGUAUUUAGAAAUAGAACUAUUUAUAAAGUUUCUAUAAUUUAAAUUAAUGCCUAAAUUUGAGAAACACUGAAAUUUCUAAAAUAAUUGCCCAAAUUAAUGCCUAUAUUAAUGUCUCAAUUUGGGUAAUAAAUAAAUUCCCAAAAUUAGUGUAAAUUAAUACGUAAAUUCAGGAUAUAAAUUAGAACUUUUUUUAAAUAUUGUUGUAUAGUUUAAUCACAAAAAUAGCCUCAAUGAAGCAACCCUUUUACCAGCUAAAUGUUAAAAUUAAAUCUUUAUCGUCCAUUGAUCAACAGUUAAGAUUUUUUUUUUUAUUUUUUAUACAAUAAAGUACCGAAUCAUUUCUCUUAAGAUAUUGAUGAACUUGUAAAUACUUGGAUGUCUUGAGACUCUGAAUCUUUGUACCUCCUUUUAGGAGAAUAACAAUGCUGAAAUAUCAUCAAAUAUGGGACUACAUGUAGUAUCCCUCCAAUUAUUCCAAGUUGCUGCUGGUGUUGGUGAUUAGCUCUCUCUGCUCAUUUGAAUUCCAUUUACUUCUUUUCUGCAAUUGUGCGCGCGGCAUGUAUCAUGUAUGACAGCACAUGUUGUUCUUUAUAAUUUGGAACGUUUGAUUGUCGAAACUUUUCUUAUUCGUGAUAACAUGCCUCAACUUGGGCUUCUGCACUAGAAUAGCUCUUCGAUGUUGCAAGGUAAUAAGAUAGUGGAGCUAGCUAUUGAUGUAUCUAAUGUUGUUCUACUUGAAUAAGCGACCCGCUAUCUCGAACUCCCAUCUUUUGAAUCGAAUUUUUGAUUCCGAGAAGAGGUGCCUCUGCGUGUGUUUCACAUGGUGUUUCAUUGCAUUAUCUUAUGCUUGCACAUAAUAAUGAGCAAAAUAUAAUAGCGAGAAGCUACACAUGUUCGAUGCGAAUGACUACAUUAUUUCCUAUAGUAUCCACUACAAAGGACAGCAAUUACUGGUGUUAGUACAAUCUAAAGUGUAUGGUUACUAUACAAUUCUAAUAUCUGCAUCAGAUGAUUGUAGAUUUUGUCUUUGGUCCUUGAUCUUUAUAGAAACUUGUCAUGCUAGGAACUUCUUGGUUCUCAGUGAGCAAGCAAGCCCUUGAUCACAUUAUGGUUGGGAUAAGGCUAUAAUUUAACAUUCGAAAUUGGCUUCUAAGCUAAGCUUUCAAUAAGUAAAGUGAUUUCCAAUAUUACAUCAAAAUUUGGUAUCUAGUGAAAUAACACAAAUUCGGUGGAUCAAAUUUUGAAUGUAGUAUUAGCUUCUAAAUUGCCAAUAAGCAGUAGUCAGACCAAAGCUUACUUGGAAAUGUAGAAGUAUCGAGCUGAACAAUACGGUUUUGCUGGAUCGAACUGUUAGCAAUAUACCCUAAAGCCAAUCGGUGACAUAGGCUUAUGGACAUAUUAAGUAUUUUUCUUAAUUAAUAAAGGGCAAAUUUUAUUCAUAUUUAUUAUUAGUAGUACAAUACAUUUAUAUGAAUCGUCCGUUGAAUCUUCGUUAAGAAAAUAUAUUCCUAAGAGUUAGGAAUUUGAGAUAUAUAUUUUUUUGUACAAAAUUCUUAAAUGCUCUUAGCCAUAGGAAUAUCAUAAGGACGAUGAUAUUUUCGGAUAGGGGGGUGCAUGCUACACCUCUAUGUUGAGAUGAUGAAUCUCAAGUUAUUAGUGUAGGGACACUAAAGUAAGCAUGCAGGUGCUUGUUAGCGAACAAGUAUACUGAGCGUGACUAUUUAGUUGAACAGUCACAUGGUUCCAUAUUCGCCAGUGACUAGUUCUUUGCUACAGUCGUGUGAAGUACUCCUCGGACCUGAGGCAUCAUGGUUGCUUCACAUAUAGAUUGCUACAGUUUGGCUGCACUAAUACUUAGACUCUAAUCAUUGGUCUACGUCUGGUACUGAUUGGCUGUAGUAGUUUAUAUGGGGAGGCAUGUGAGUGCGCAAUAAGGAAUUCAAUACUCUCGAUUUUGAGAGAGAGAACGCCCUAUGUAGGUUAUCAGACUCGAUUCGGAAAAUCCCUAGCCAAGGUACGUGGUGUGUGGAAAGAGUUUCCAGCUGUGUUACCAUAUUGAGUCGGUUUUAGAUAUUCUAGUCAUACGAUCAAAUAAUAAGAUUUGGCGAGUAACCAUAAUUUUAGUUCGAUCGGGGCGUUGUGUGUUGCAAGGAAUUAAUCACACGGUAACUGUUAGCAGGAAGGUUCGUUUUUCAUCAUCAUUCUGGAUUGCCGUGAUAUACUUCUAGGUGUCGCUCACGGAUAGUGAGAGAAGUAAAAAUAAUUUAAAAUAAAUUAUUUUCUAGAUUAGAAGAGUUCUAAUUCAAUAUUGACGGCUUCAUUAGUAAAUGACACACCAAAAUUAAUGUGAAGGAGAUUCACAUUAUUCUUUUCUCUCAAUCUUUCGUCAAGUUCACAUUAUUUCAUUAAAAGAGAAAGUAGAUAUCAGAAGACUGCUAGCACCGUCUUCGUAAUCUACAACUCAUCUGUUCCGUGCGACGGAAGACAUUGGAUCUGCAUUAAUUCCGUGUGGAUACGCGUAGAGGCUGGGCACGUGCGCGGCUAAUCGGAAUCUCAGUUUCAACCGUACAGUAGAUCAACAGACCUUAACUGGUCCGAGGUGAUGUCGCCUGAACUUCAAAUAUGUUUAGGUUAGAUUAUUAUUUUACACUGUAACAUGAGAAUGAUCCACUGGCACUGGAGUGAUUUGUUUUUGAUUUGGUUCAUAUGUGAUAUGGAUUUUUGUUUUGGAAAAAUUUCUAAAGGUACAAUAUUUUUUCCGCUGCGAUUUGUAUUUUAUUUUUGUGCCGAAUAAAUUCUUACAGUGGUAUCAGAGCCGAUUCUCAUGUUCUAUGUAAAAUAUUAACGAUUUGUACGGUUUGAUUAAAAUUUUGGAACUUUUUUGAUUAGAUCGAUAUUGUUUUUCUUAAAUUGCACAUACUGCGAUUUAUUGGUUUCACACUAUAAAAUAAAUACGUGGAGACUUAAGAAAAACAUAUUAUUGAGUUCCAAAAUUUUUAAUCGAUGUUUAGAUCGAUUUGGUUAUUAUAUUCUGCAUACUUUUUUAGAUGGGUGAUGAUCAUGAACCUUAGACAUCUGUGAUUUGAUUAUGGAUGUAUCUGUGAUUUGAUUAUGAAUGUAUGUGUGAUGUUGUAAUUUUGUGUUUAUGGUGUAUUUUGUAAGAUUAAAAAGGGCCUGCGUGCCAUCUUUAUUUUAAUUGGGAUCUGCGAAUCCCUGUAAUUUUGAUUAGAUGAAAUAAGGGUUAUUUGGAGAAGAGUGCACAUCAAGCGUUGAUGGAUUGGCGUCGGCAUCAAAGGAUGUAUCAGAUCCAACAGAAGAAGAUGGCUAAAUAUUUGCAAGCGAAAUAAUCUCAAGAGUUGAGAAUAUGUGUGUAUCACCCUAUAGACCGAUUUGACUCAUCGGCUCGAGUCGAAUCAGAAAAGUCCAUGAUCAUCCCUAAACUAUGCAAUUAAUUUUUGUGUUUGUGAUAACUGUGAUUUAUUUUAUAUGAGAUAUAACAUGUGAUGAUGAGACCGAUAUAAUUUUAAAGUUUUUAAACUCCCUACAAAAUAUUAAGUUGAAACGAAGGGGCAUUUGAUGCUCUAUCGUGGCCUUCCACCGAUCACAAGAUGUAGCAUUGUUUCAACAUUGAGUAGUCACGCAUGGUCCCAUGGGGCUACUUGUGUUUGAACUAUGCGAACAUCUUGCCAUAGGAUGCUACAAUAUGGCAUUAUCAAUGGAUCCAAGAAACCGUCCGAUGAGGGUCUUUUGAUAAUUCCAUAUUUGUAGGAGAGGAGGAUUAGAUUUAACUAAGGUUGUUGCGCCAAGGAACCGUCUGGUGAGGCGUAAAAUCCUUAGAGGCCGAAGGACGAUUGGAUUGCACAUAAGAUGUGUCGAGGUAAGAUGUUACCCGUUCAUUAAAUUGCGGCUUUCCAAGAAACUGUCCGGUGAGGUAAGUCGUAAUUUAUGAAACCCCAAUCACCACUAAGAAAUCUAAUGGAUGAGGAUUUUCGUCUUUCUACUUAGGGAGUGUAAAAAUUCGAUAAAAUUAGUGGGAGGAGCCUUUUAAACUAAAAGACCCUAGUUUAAUAGGUUAAAAAGAAAAAUACUUAUCUAACUAAAAUCUCUACUUUCUGCAGACAAAAUGAAUGCCUCUAACCCUCUUUCUCGCAUAAUGGAAUAUAACCGAUUAACCGGCCCUAAUUACCAAGACUGGCUUCGUAACCUAAAAAUUGUUUUAGGUAUUGAAAAGCUUGAUUAUGUUCUUCAAGCUCCAAUUCCCGAGCUUAUCGCUGAAGCCACACUUGAAGAAAUUGAGGAGAGAGACAAGUGGGUUGAUGAUGACCAGCGUGUCAAAUAUUACAUGCUGGCCUCUAUGUCGAAUGAGCUGCAACAGUAGCAUGAGAACUAUGUUCGAGCAUAUGAGAUGCUUGCGCACUUACAAGAGUUGUAUGGUGCACAAAGCUGAACCGCAAGAUAUGAGAUAUCAAAGCGAUUGUUUAGGGCUCAGAUGACUCCAGGCACGUCAGUCAGUGAACAUUGUCUUAAAAUGAUUAACGAUAUUUCCAAGAUAUGAGAUAUCAAAGAGACAAGUUUCCGCUGCCUAUUAUUUCCAACAGUCUUAAAAUGACUAACGAUAUGGAGCAGCUGAUAAACCUCGGCUUGAACUUGGACACAGACUUGCAGAUCGAUCUAGUUCUACAGUCUUUGCCAGAAUCGUUCUCUCAUUUCGUUAUGAACUUCAACAUGAAUAAGAUUCAUGCCACUUUGUCCGAGCUUAUGAAUAUGCUAGUCAUAGCGGAAAGCACGUUGAAAACAAACGGGAUGGCGAUGGCGGUUGAGAGAACUUCAAAAGGAAAGUUCAAAGGAAAGAAAAAGUUUUCCAAGCUCAAGUCAUCGAGAGGAGUGAAGAAAGUCAAUUUUAAGAAAUCCGACAAAGGCAAGGCUAAAGGAAAAUGUUUCCAUUGCGGAAAAGAAGGGCAUUGGAAGAGAAAUUGUAAAGAAUAUCUUUCUACCCUAAAAGAAAAGUUGAAAAGGGGCCUUCUGAAGGUACGAACCAAAUGCUAGUCGUUGAGGCCAAUAUGAUUGGCUCUACUUCUUCUUGGGUAUUAGAUUCUGCAUGUACCUUACAUCUUUGUAAUUCAUUGCAGGAUCUAAAGGGAAGUAGAACACUGAAGGACGGCAAGGUGACCCUACGUGUAAGAUAUCGAAUCCUCGUAUUAAUAAUCCACUUUUGGUCAAAGUGACCAAAGUGUGGCGAGGGGAAUGCUUGGACAUAUUCCAUUUGACAUUCCAAGGAUGUUGGAAGGGUCAAAGUUGAGUUCUAAUAGAGUUAAUUGAGUUUUAGCAUUUCUCGGCGCAAAACAGAAGUCGAACAAAUGCUAAACUGCAGUCUGGGCACUUGGUACCGGUACAACAUUAGGGUGGUACCAGUACCAUGUAUUAAACCGAGAGUAGUAGCUCUCGGGUUGGCCUCUGCGUAGUCGUGUAACCAGUGACAGAAAUCCCUGGUACCGGUACCAACAGUAGAAAACUGCGGAGUGCAAUUUGUUACAAAUGGCAAUUAUUUGAGGGGCUUUUAUGUAAUUGUUACAGCUUAUAAAAGGGUCCCAACUCCCUCUCAUCUGUUCUCAGCCAGAGAACAUUUCCUCAUCCCUUUUUCUUUCUCUUUCUCUCUCUAGAAGCUCUCCAAAGGGUUGGAGCUUGAGGAGGGUUCGGUGGAGAUCGAAGCUUAACGUAGGAUUUCGUCUUCUACAUCUUCUUCCUCGGCUUGAAGAGGCUUGUAGAGAGGUAAGCUUUUAAAGCUUUAAUGGUAGAUUUCUAGGAUUGAUGUUUUAUGCUCUAGAAAUGGUUUUAGUAGAGUUCUUGGAUGCUAGAUAGAUGUAUAUUACUUGAAUCAAGAAGUUUUAUGGUCGAUUCUUGCAAGAUUUAAUAUCUAGGGUUCAGAAAUGGGUUUUUGAAAAAUAGAGAUCGAAAGUUGGGAUUGAUCUCUUUAGUACCUAUUUGCUAGGUUUCCUGACGCGCUGGUGAAGACGGUUCGGCGAUCCGUUGAGCCUGCGCAAAGAUAUUGCCGAAAAGGGCGUUUCAGCUUCGUUUCCGCUUAGAGGGCCGUGGCGGCGACGGAAAAUCACGAAAUUCGAAUCCUCGCGUCUUGACAUCACCAGAAGGUGGGGGGUGUCAUCCCGAAGCAGUUGGGCUUCCUUUUAUGUCUAAGUCGUUUUAUCGAUCAUAUUUUCAUAGGUUGCAUUAUAGCAUUAUGGGAUGUAGUAUAGUUACAUUUCUAUUUUCCUUGCAUGUUCCUUAGUAGUGUAGCGUUGUGAGCUUGACACAAGAAUCUAGGGUGCAUGAGAAUUAGAUUUGGUAACAUGGAAUCCUAUAGUGAUAAGAUAAGUGGCAACUUGAAUUUGAAAUGACGAUAAUAGUUGACGUUGAACUAGUGUAGUAGAAACACUACAACAUGAACAAGUGGCAUAUAAACUAGUUGAAACACUUACAAUAAUGAUUUGAACGAGUGGCAUCGAAUCUAGUAUAGCAACACAUUAUGACAUAUGACAUGAUUCUAGGGAUAGUAGAGUUCCCGAUUAUUGGAUUAUGCAUUGGAAUCAGUGCGGUAAAGGCACUAUGACCCUUAUAGAUAGGGUAUCCUCAAGUUGUGAGGAUUAGACCAUACUCACUAGUCUGUUUACACUUGGCGUGGUCGCUCAACCCAAGUAGUGGUCUCUGGAGUACUUCACGACAGGGGCAGACAUAGUUGUCCCGCAGACGGUCUCGGUAUGCGAGUGCAGUUUCUCCUCACCUAUGAGAUUGAAAGAGUGAGUCAGGGCAAACCUUCGGGUUAGCCAAGUUGAUUGAGUAUUGAACAUGAAGAGCAUAGUAGAUUUGCAUUCAUAUCAGGAGUAGACAUAGUGUAUGUUAGUAGAUUGCAUAACUAUGUUUGUAUUUUAUUCAUGACACUUCAUGCAUUGUUUCGCAUUUGAAGGCAUAGUAGAAUAUAGCAGUUCAUUUCUAUCUAUCUAUCUAUCUAUCUGCUUAUGCUUGCUUAGACCUAGUGGGAAGAUCGGCAGAGUCGGCGGCCAAACCCACUGGGAACUAUAUUUAUAUAGUUCUCACCCCACUUUGUUGCAUGACCGAGUUCGAGUGGACCGAGCGAGGACCGCGGUAAGGGCAUAGCGCCCUAGUAGCUAGCGGCUUUUCCUUUUGCAUUAGAGUUUUCCAUGUAUAUAGAUAUCUUGAUAUGUAUAUAUUGGAGAGCUACUUAUGUUUAUAGAUGUUGAACUUGUAUUACAUUUUAGAGAUGUGAAUGUAUUAUGUACAGGUUGUAUGAAAAUGUAUUAGCUAGAUGUUUCUCUUUUAUUCACUUGUUUAUCUACUUGUGAUUCUUGCUCUCGCUUGUUUAGCACUUGUGUGCUUCAUGUAUAUUGUUUAGGUUUACCUGGGCAACUUGAUGUACAUGACUCUGUUGUUAGCCUUGGGCGGACAGGGAAGGUCCUGUCCGUUCGGCGUCUGUUCACGUGCCCGAACCGACCAAAUUGGCAGUCGCGGGGCGCGACACUACGUGUGGGUAAUGGAGCAAGCAUUGCUGUGUUAGUCGUAGGGAGCUGUUCUUUGAGACUUCCAUCUAAACAUAUUUUAGAAUUAGAGAAUUGUUAUUAUUCUUCUUUAGUUGUUAGGAAUUCGAUUUCUGUUACAACUUUAGUUCGAACUGGUUAUCGUUUUAUUUUUGAAACUAAUGGCUGUUUUAUUUAUUUCCAAAAUAAAUUGAUAGCUACUGGUAGUUUAGUUAACAAUCUCUACUUUCUAAAUCUGGAUGGAAAUGUUGCUAAUAUUGGACAUAAAGAGAAUAAUUCUCAAAUGAAGAGACCUAGAGAUAAUAGUCUGAACCAAAAGUAUCUAUGGCACCUUCGACUAGGUCAUAUUGCAGAGGAUAGGAUAAACCGACUGGCCAAGGAUAGACACUUGGGAACUUGUGCUUUAGAAUCUUAUCCAGUUUGUGAGUCUUGUUGUAAUACACUGAACUUUCGCAAAUUGCAGAGUUCGAGUGUGUGGAUUGAAAUGUGGAACUAUCCUAUAUAUUCUAAAUGACUUGGACAAGUUUUUGAACAAGUUAGAGAGUGAUUGGAGGGUUAAAAGCAAGAAAGUGCGCUGAUCUGGCGAAAUCAGCAGUUUUCUGCUUGGUGUACCGGUACAGCCAUCAUGGUGUACCGGUACACAAUGGUAAAACGUGGCAGCAAGGUUAUAUUGGUAAUUCCAUAUCUUGAUCCUAUCUAUUUGAAUCCAGCACGACCUCUGGAGCUCCAUAGAUAAUGCUAGAGCUCAGAGAAAGGCCCUUGCACCAUUUUCUCUCUCUCUCUCUAGGGUUUUUCUCUCUCUACAAAGAAAUCGCCGAUUUUGCUCGUUUUCGUCGCAACGUUGGUUUUCCGCUGGUUGCCAGCGUCGCUGAGCCUACGUGGACGUGUGAGGGAGUAUUUUGGAGAGCUUUUCACAGCUCUGGACCAGUAGAGUACUGGUUGGAUGUUCGAUAAGGUAACCGACUCAACUUUUCUGUUAUCAACGUUCUAUUCGUCAGAUUGAGUAUUGAUUUCGGGCUUUUUUUUGCUUCCAACUGUUUAACUGUUUUAAACUGAGGUUUCAGCAAGUAAAUAUGAGUGAAUUAGCUGUGAAUGAACCUCCUUAGAUCAGGGAUAAGCUACUUUGAAGCUUAUUAGAGAUGUUUAGCUGUUUAUGAAGCUAUUUUGAACCUAUACGCGGGUUAGUUGAUCAAAUUGAUGUAGUUUGAGCUUUUCUCUUCGCAGCAGGUUUGCGAACUAAAUUAAGCUAGUUUGGUGACCUGGGGAUCUAGUUUGGAAGGUGUUCUAACCAAGGGUAAGCAGGAAUUUCAGCUAGAAAUUUAAUCUCGCAAGACUUCGACUAUUAUAGCUUAUAAUCGACUUUAUUGAUGCCGUUUCGGUAUUGUUCGUAGCGAGAGGGUAAUUGACCCUUGGACCGCCUUCGACUGGCAUUGGAGGGCCUUUUGGAAGCUUAACUUGAGGUAUUACACUAGCCCAAAAUAGGGAUUUAAGGGGUUACUUUGUACUAAGUGCAAAUUAGGCCGAAAUCGGACAUUUCGGUCGUCUUUUUGACACGGUGUUGAUGUUUGUUUUCAGCAGGAUUGGAGCCUUGGUGAGCUGAUUAGUGGGACUUCUUGUGACUAUUUGGAGGAGCCUAGUACUAGGUGGGUUCGACCUAACCAGAGCAAGUGAAGCUCCCCUAUGUUCUAUAUGUAACUAUAGAAUUGGUUUAGUAGCGCAUUUUUAUGAUUAUGCGAUUAAUAAAGGGUUUGAUAUAUUUAUCAUCACAACAUUUGAUAUAAUUGAAAUAGAACCUCUAUGAAGUAGAGUGGAUACACACAUGCAUAAAGUAUUUAUGUUCAUGUUUAAUUCAGUUGAAUGACAUUCUAGUACAAGUUACUAUGUUCCUAGAAAGUAGAGAACAAUGACAUGCUUGUAACUUUAUUGAUUAUAUAGUCGAGAACGAGAACAUGUUUUAUGACUAUGAAAGUUUCGAAUGUCAUAUGUAAAUUAGCAUUACUCUCACAUGUUUAUUAAUCUAGUGGAUACUAGUUGUGGUCAAUAUUGGUUAUAUUGGAAUUCCGAUCAAAGAAUCGAGAGCGAGAAUAUUGUGAGCUAAAUUGUGAUAGUUGAGACAUGUUGGGCUGUGGACUUUGCUUGCUUGCCAUCGUGCUCAUUCGCACACGCUUGUGAGGGUAGCUCCCUACAAGCCGGCACUCCGGAGUUGGCCUACGCGACAGUUGCUCGCCCGUGCGGGAUUGGGUGCCGAAGUGGAUUGCCGUGGGGAGUGUACACUACCACGGGGCCAUUAGGCGCGGCGCAAGCUGGACUACCUUGAGCAGGUCCCUGUGAAUGAAAGGAAAGUGCUAAUGGAAAUUGGAUAGUAAUGAAUGAUUACCAGUUACAGUGUACAGUAGUGACUUACACAUUUUAUGCUUAUGUUCAUGUUAUCUUUAUGCUUACCGUAGUUGCUAAGCUUUAUGUAACCAGUUAAUUCAUUACUGUAGAAAGUAUCAUUACAUGUUGCUUACAUGUUUAUUACUUGUUAGCAUUGGAAAUAUAUCAUGCAAAUUACCGCUUUUAUUUUCAUUUAGUACAUCAUGAGCCUAGUGGUGUAAUUCGCCGAGGCUGGCGGCUUACCCACUGGAAACUAUUGUUAAUAGUUCUCACGCCCUUUUUGGUGGUUGUUUUUACAGAGCUUGUUACAGGAGAGGCUAGGGAUCGUGGCAAGGGAGUCGCGUCUAGCUAGACUUUGCUAGGAGCAUGCUAGUCGAUCACCUUGGUACUCGGGCUAUGGCCGACGGUGAUGUCCCUAUGUAUAGAGAGACUACCAUUGUAUCUACUUUUUGUAUACCCGUGAUGUAUAUUUACUAUUUGGACCGAGAACUACAGUUGUGAUACUUCUCUUUUGUCGAGAUUUUGGAUUGUAUAGUUGUUGUUCUUUUGCUUUUAGUAUAUCGACUUGUACUUUGCUCUGAUAUCAGGAUAGGAUUUUCUAUGUUCUACUUCCUAUCGAUUGCUUCUUUGUAGACGCCUUAUAUACUGCAGGUGUACGGCGGGUCUGUGCACGUACCGGAUAUGCUUCCGCUGGUACCCGGGCGUGACAUUUGUCUUCAAGGCAAAAUGGCCAAGUCACCCUUUGUUGGACAAAGAGAGCGAGCCACAGAGUUACUUGCCAUUGUGCACUCAGACGUGUGUUGACCAUUUAGUGAAACGGCUUGAGGUGGUUAUCUCUACUUUGUGACUUUUACCGAUGAUUAUUCACGGUAUGGGUCUGUGUUUCUUAUGAAACACAAGUCUGAAACCUUUGAAAAGUUCAAAGAGUUCAUAUAUGAAGUAGAGAAGCAGACAGGAAAAAGUAUUAAGGCUCUUCAAUCAGAUCGAGGAGGCAAAUACCUUAGUGCAGAAUUUCUAAAUUAUCUCAAAGAAAACGGUAUUCUCUCGCAAUGGACACCUCCUGGAACCCCGGAAUUGAAUGGAGUUUCAGAAAGAAGGAAUUGUACUUUAUUAGAUAUGGUACGAUCGAUGAUGAGCUUCACACACUUACCUUUAUUUCUUUGGGGUUAUGCUCUAUUAACCGCAGCUUACAUUCUAAACAGAGUGCCUUCAAAAUCUGUUCCUUGUACUCCGCAUGAGAUGUGGUUUGACAAAAAAACCGGGUCUCAAUCAUUUAAGGAUUUAGGGAUGCCUAGUUUUUGUUAAAAAACUUAAAACAGAUAAAUUGGAGGCUAGGUUGGAUAAAGGAAGAUUUAUUGGUUAUCCCAAGGAGUCUAUGGGAUACUAUUUUUAUCUUCAAAAUGAACAAAACGUGAUUGUUAGCCGACAUGCAAUAUUUUUGGAAAAAGAGUUUGUCCAAGAAGGUGGUGCCGGAAAGGAGAUAGUGCUCAAAGAGAUGGUCUCAAAUGAGCAAACAAUUUCUCUAGAACAAUCUGAACAAGCUAUUCAAACUGAACCCACUAUUACACAAUUACCUCGAAGAUCUAGUAGAAUAUCCCAACCUCCAGAGAAAUAUCGAGAUUUCGUUAUGGAAUGCACAAAGGAAAUGUUCCUCAUUGGCGAUAGUGAUCGCAAGGAUGAUCCUACCAAUUACGAAGAGGCGAUGUCAGACAUCGACUCAAUAAAAUAGCAAGAAGCUAUGAAGUCCGAGAUGGACUCAAAUGUAUACCAAUCACAUAUGGACUCUUGUUGAUCCACCGAAGGUAUAGUACCUGUUGGUUGUAAAUGGAUUUUCAAGAAAAAUAUUGGUGUGGAUGGAAAAGUAGAGACAUACAAGGCGAGACUUGUAGCAAAAGGCUACAGUCAACGAGAAGGUCUCAACUAUAAAGAAACGUUCUCUCCUGUGGUCAUGCUUAAAUCCAUUUGAACGUUACUUGCCAUAGCCGCAUACUAUGACUAUGAGAUAUGGCAAAUGGACGUAAAAACUGCUUUCCUCAAUGGAUUCAUAAAGGAGGACAUAUAUAUGCAGCAGUCUGAGGGAUUUGUGUCUGAUAGCCAGAAACAUAAAGUAUGCAAGCUUCAGAGGUCCAUUUAUGGAUUGAAGUAGGCUUCGAGGAGUUUGAACACAUGGUUCAAUGAUGCAGUCAAAACGUUUGGCUUCGUGAGAAAUCAAGAUAAACCUUGUGUUUACAAGAAGACUAGUGGGAGCCAGCUUGUCUUUCUUGUAUUGUACGUGGACGACAUUCUUUUGAUUGGAAAUGAUGCAGGUUUGAUGACCUCUGUCAAGGUUUGGUUGUCUCAAAAUUUCUUAAUGAAAGAUCUAGAAGAGGCAGCCUAUAUUCUCGGAAUUAAGAUCUAUAGAGAUAGAUCUAAGAGGUUAAUCGGUUUGUCACAGCAGAUGUACAUAGAAGAUGUGUUGAAAAGGUUCAACAUGGAAAGUUCCAAAAGGGGUCUUCUUCCUCUUAGACAUGGAAUUAAUCUUUCCAAGAUGAUGUGUCCUAAAACACCUGAGGAAAGAGAGCAUAUGAGCAAAAUUCCCUAUGCUUCCGCAAUAGGAAGUCUCAUGUACGCUAUGCUAUAUACAAGACCAGAUAUCGCACAUGCCGUAAGUGUUACGAGCAGAUAUUAGUCCAAUCCAGGUGAAGAACACUGGACUGCUGUGGAGAAUAUCCUUAAGUACUUGAGAAGAACUAAAAAUUUGUGUUUAGUGUAUGGUGGAAAUGAGCUAACGUUAGAAGGCUUCACAGAUUCAGGCUUCAUGUCGGAUGUUGAUGAUAGAAAGUCAAUAUCAAGGCAUGUCUUCAUAUUGAAUGGUGGGGCUAUCAUUUGGAAGAGUUCCAAACAGAAUACAAUAGCAGAUUCCACCACUGAGGCAGAGUACAUUGCAGCAUCUGAGGCAUCAAAGGAGGCAGUUUGGCUUCGAAAGUUCUACGGAACUAGGAAUGGUGCCCUCUAUUGAAGAGCCAAUGCCACUUUACUGUGACAAUAAUGGAGCUAUAGCGCAAGCUAAAGAACCGAGGUCUCACCAGAAGUCCAAGCAUAUAGAUCGACGCUACCACAUCAUCCGACAAUUUAUAGAUGAGCGUCAGAUUGUUGUGUAGAAAGUAGCAUCCGUAGACAAUAUAGCGGAUCCCCUUACUAAGCCGCUCACACUUCGAAAGCUGGAUGUGCAUUUAGAAAGAAUGGGUAUGAGAUACAUGAGCGAUUGGCAUUAGUGUUAGUGGGAGAUUGUUAGUGAUAAACCCUAAAGCCAAUCGGUGACAUAGGCUUGUGGACAUAUUAAGUAUUUUUCUUAAUUAAUAAAGGGCAAGUUUUAUUCAUAUUUAUUGUUAGCAGUACAAUACAUUUAUAUGAAUCGUCCGUUAAAUCUUCGUUAAGAAAAUAUAUUCCUAAGAGUUAGGAAUUUGAGAUAUAUAUUUCUUUGUACAAGAUUCUUAAAUGCUCCUAGCCAUAGGAAUAUCAUAAGGACGAUGAUAUUUCCGGAUAGGCCGGUGCAUGCUACACUUUUAUGUUGAGGUGACGAAUCUCAAGUCAUUAGUGUAGGGACACUAAAGUAAGCAUGUAGGUGCUUGUUAGUGAACAAGUACACCGAGCAUGACCAUUUAGUUGAAUAGUCACAUGGUUCCAUAUUCGCCAUUGACUAGUUCUUUGCUACAGUUGUGUGAAGUACUCCUCGGACUUGAGGCAUCAUGGUUGCUUCACACAUAGAUUGCUACUGUUUGACUGUACUAAUACAUAGACUCUAAUUAUUGGUUUACGUCUGGUACUGAUUGGCUGUAGUAGUUUAUAUGGGGAGGCAUGUGAGUGCGCAAUAAGGGAUUCAAUACUCUCGAUAUUGAGAGAGAGAACGCCCUAUGUAGGUUAUCAGACUCGACUUGAAAAAUCCCUGGCCAGGGUACGUGGUGUGUGGAAAGAGUUUCCAGCUGUGUUACCAUAUUGAGUCGGUUUUAGAUAUUCUAGUCUUAUGAUCGAAUAAUAAGAUUUGGCGAGUAACCAUAAUUUUGGUUCGAUCGGGACGUUGUGUGUUGAAAGGAAUUAAUCAUACGGUAACUGUAAGCGGAAAGGUUCAUUCUUCAUCACCAUUCUGGAUUGUCGUGAUAUACUGCUAGGUGUCACUCACGGACAGUGAGAGAAGUAAAAAUAAUUUAAAAUAAAUUAUUUUAUAGAUUAGAAGAGUUCUGAUUCAAUAUUGAAGAAUUUGAUAUUGAACUCUAUUGCCGAAUGAUAAUGGACCUUUGAGGUCACACACACUAGGAAUUGUGUGCAUCCAAUAUGACAAGAUGAGUUUAAUACACUAAACGGUUUAGUGGAAAUAGUGUGAAAUUAUAAUUUGAAUAUUACGAAAGAUUUAAUCUCUAAUUAGACUAGAGAAUAAUUAAAUAUUCAUAGAUUAUUAUGAGAUAAUUAGAUUAGAUUUAAAUAUGAAUAUUUAAUUAUAAUUUAAUGGAUAAAAUCUAAUUAAAUUAAAUUUAUCAAUGAGAGAGAUAAAGAUAAAAUACCCAUAAGGAUAAGUGUAAAUUUACUUUUCUUAUCCUAUAUGGCAACUAAUUGGAUAUGAUCCAAUUAGUAUGGAAACUAAUUGGAUAUGAUCUAAUUAGUUACAACAGAUUGCGGGAUGUGCUGAUUUGUACGAUUUUAUUAAGAGAUGUACAAAGAGGAGGCACGGCUUCAUUAGUAGGCGACACACCAAAAUUAAUGUGAAGGAGAUUCACAUUAUUCUUUUCUCUCAAUCUUUCGUCAAGUUCACAUUAUUUCAUUAAAAGAGAACGUAGAUAUCAGAAGACUGCUAGCACCGUCUUCGUAAUCUACGACUUAUCUGUUCCGUGCGACGGAAGACGUUGGAUUUGUAUCAAUUCUGUGUGGAUACGCGUAGAGGCCGAACACGUGCGCGGCUAAUUGGAAUCUCAGUUUCAACCGUACAGUAGAUCAAGGGACCUUAAUUGGUAUGAGGUGAUGUAGCCUGAACUUCAAAUCUGUUUAGGUUAGAUUAUUAUUUUACACUGUAACAUGAGAAUGAUCCACCAGCACUGGAUUGGUUUGUUUUUGAUUUGGUUCAUAUGUGAUAUGGAUUUUUGUUUUGGAAAAAUUUCUAAAGGUACAAUAUUUUUUCCGCUGCGAUUUGUAUUUUGUUUUUGUGCCGGAUAAAUUCUUACACGAACUAUUUGUGACGAGUUCUAUUGUUGGUUUCUUCUGAGGUGACUCUUCUUCUAUUAAUGUCUCAUAUUUAAUUUUCAUUUCAUCAAAUCGAACGUCUGUGUGUGGUUGUGUCACGCCCCGGGGUUCUUUUGAAAAUCCGUUCUAGAAAAAACCAACGAAAAAAUAUAUAGUUUUUUUUUUAACACCUUUAAAGACACCCCAUGACGCCCACAGACCCGCCACAUGGAUAAAGGAUCCCCUGUACAAACGGACAGGGUCUCCUUUGUACAUACAAACGGACAGGGUCUCCUUUGUACAUACAUGAUGUAGCACUUGAAUACAAACACUAACUACAAAGAAAGUCGUCUGCAACUGACAUAAUCAUCUGGCAUAAAAAGAAAUAUUUCCUUCGAUCACCCUCCGCACUCCCGGGAGAGUUUCUAACAAUUCAAUAGCAGACUUCAUAGCAAAUCAUCUCUCUUACGACUUGCUUUCCUAAGGUCUGCCAAAAGUCUAGAGUUCUCUAAGUUCUGACAAUCUAUCCUUAAGCUUUGAUGCUAACUUAAUUUGUCACGCCCUAAGUUGUAGUUGAAUCCAGGCUUGCCAACAGAUACGUUGUAUAUACAAGUAGCCCUAUGUACACGAAGCAAAAAAGUACUUAUAAUCUCUACAAGAGCUAUUACAAGCAAGUGCCAAAGUGGAAAUAAAAGCUGCUUAACUAAAAGAAAUUCAUUGUACAUACAUGCUUAAAAAUAGUACACAACUAAAUCCACCAGAUACACUUACAUCUCACAUAAGCUGAAAUAAAACAUAUCUAAAACUAUAUGUACAAUGGACUACCCUCCCAAAAACUAGCUAACUCAGGUACUCCUCAAGCACAUCCAGCAAGGACAGGCAGUAAUCUAAUUCGCGACUCCCUUACCUCGAUCAGUAGUAGUGAUAGGAAUGGAGGGCUCUACAAGAAAAGAAGCAACAAAGGACGUGAGAACUAUAAAUAAGUAGUUCUCAGUGGGCACCAUCACCAAUGCCGACUGCCUACUCACUAAGUCUACAAAAGCUGAAAGAAAAAGCUGGGUACGUAAGGAACUAUAAGUAGUGGUGUUGGAAAGAAAUCUACAGCUACUAUGCAUCUAUACUACUAAUGCUCAAGUAAAAACUACUAUGAUGAUGAAUGCAUCAACAAACUAUAGAGUCCGUACAAACAACUCAAUCCACAUAACUGCCUCCAAGUCCGGUCAAGCUGAUGCCAACCUACUACCACUCACGACCUUCGCAGGUGGCUGGUCCAAGGUAGAUCCCCAAAAGGGCUGCUGCCAUAUCAACGCGAAAAGGUUUUCACUUCGGAGUGGCACUCGGGGAGCUACCCAGCGGAGCAAAUGCGUAAUUUCCGUUGAACUCAAAUUUGGCUCGUGCAGGUUGUAGUCGAUACAAAUGAUCAAUUAUAUCAUAAAACUAUGGCUCGUGUGCCCCAGGCACUAUUCGAUGCAAAAAUUGAAAAUCCGGGACCAUCUUCAAUCCAAACGGCACCCCACUAUAGACUUAGUCUAAUAACUAUUGUAAAAAAUUUACUCGGCCCCUUAGCACAAUAGUAAACCCAUCCUACACUAAUCCAAACACUCACAACCCUCUACCAAGUACGAGACACAGGUACAAACAACUACUAGUGCUAAAUCCUAACGAUGGGGCGUCAAAAUGAAAUACUGCAGAUUUUUUUUUUUUAUGUUUUAAGCUCAAUUUCAGAUCUAAAUUCUUCUAUAAUAGGUUUAGCAUGCUCACAGUUCAGAUUUCAUCAUUAGUCAUGCCAAUCCAAAGAUUUGAAGCUAAACAAUUUAACUACAAUUGUCAUAUCCCGCGAUCCGCCUCUUUGGUCGGGUUCGGGCCGCCAACAGACUGCCGAACGGACAGAGUCUCCCUUGUACGUUCUAGGCGUCGCAACAGUACAAUACAAGAGGUUCCAAACAGGAACAGUAUUCAUACACUGAUUGCAUAAGGAAGGUAUCAAACAACAUAAAUACAAACUAUGCUAUUACAAACAUUUACAUACCUGCAUUUUUACAUAUUAUAUUUUCCAAUUACAUUCAACUUCCAAAUACAAUCAUUGAUUUCAAAUUAUUACAAGUUUGAUCUUUCUAUUUCCACCCCUAAGCUAGACUACUUCGGGGUACCACUAUCUCUGGUCACAAUGGUAGGGCGCUAUCUACGGAACUACGCCGUUUCCUCGCACCGCCGCGCCGCUCGCGUGUCAACCUGAAAUCCCCCAAAACAACGUGGGGUGAGAACUAUAUCCAUAGUUCCCAGUGGGUACGGCAACCCAAGGGAGAAGAUCAACCCACCAGGUCCAAAGGAGGCACUGCAAUCAUGUUAGUCCAACAGAUAUCCACAAAGAAUUAAAUACAUGCGUAUGCCUCAAGACAUGUAAUAUGCAAAUGUAAAUCAUGCAAUCAACUAAGUAGAUCAUCCGAUACUACUUUUUAUCUCGCUAUCCAUAGAUCAUGUCUACCAUUUAUACCUUUUGCCAUUUUAUAUCAUUGGUCAUUUGCUCCUAAGGUUUCCUCUACCUUAGUCAAGCUAACCACCCGACUCGGCCUCGAGUCAAUCCUACGCGGAGUACCGCGCACUCUGCUGCGUCCACAGCCCAAUCAUUUGCCUUUUUGUAAUCCAAUCUUUCCGGCUAACCCGAAGGUUGAGUCCCGACUCACAACCAAAUCCCUACAAUCGUGAGGAGCAUCCACUACACUCACCUGGGACCGUCUGCGGGACAACUACGUCUGCAACUACUGUGAAGUACUCAGGAGACCACUGUUUGGGUGGAGCGACCACCGCCAAGCGAAACAGACGUAUGUGAGCAUGAUCCAAUCCUCCAAGAUGAGGAUACCCUACCAACUAGUGGUAAUCAAGCCGGGAUAAACAUCAAUCCCAAUCCUCAUAUAUAAUGAGUAAUCACAUUGUCCCUAACUAAUGCCACAAUGUCACAAUAUCUCUAGCUAAUGCCACAAUGUCACAAUGUCUCUAGCUAAUGCCACAAUGUCACAAUGUCUCUAUGUUCUCAUUGUUAUGUCAAUGCCAUUUCCGUUGCCACAAUGUUCACAUUUUCAUAUGCAUAUACUUUCUAACAUAUUCUCAUAGUGCAAACAUCCAUUUAGCAAUGCUAUAAUAUGUUAACAUGCAUAUUCAUCUAACAUAAUCCACAAUGUCAACAUUUACAUGAAUCCGACACAUAUUCACAAUAUGUCCACAUGCAUAUGUAAUCUAGCAUGAUCUCACAAUGUCAACAUUUAUAUACCAUCUAGCAUAUUUCUCAUAAUGUCACAUGCAAAUACUUUGUCGUCCAAGGUAGUCGAUACAUAACAUCUCAUGCACUUACAUGGUAUCCACCUAUGCAUUCAUUUAUGUAAUCAACUACCACUACAUAUAUCAAUGACAAACCACUUCACUUUGGCAUGGAAGUGACCUAAUUACUUCGGUGAAGCACAACCCACCUCGUAACGCUCUCCGAUUGCUCGUAGUCACUUGCAAUCGGGCUCCCGCGGCAGACGUGAUUCGGUUCAGCUCGAUCUCGAAAUCGGCAAUCGAACACCCACCAAUCCGCAACCUAGAGUCACCCGGGGCUCAUCUCUAACCUUCAAUUAGAGAAUCAUGGGAUUAAAUGAGAUCAAAACCCUCAUUUGCCCAAGCCCCCAUUCUAACCCUAGCAUGCACAUAUUCUCCAAAUAACCCAAAAUUAAAUGGAGCAACAUGCUAGAAAUACUCUAGAAACUACUAGGAUAUUAAGCAUUAAGGAUUUAACCAAAAUCCAAACACUUACUGAAAUGUGAACGCCGAGUCGAAAGCACGCCGCUCCAACGGGCGCACGAAGACUCGAUCCGAUGCUCCCCAUACGUUCCCAAGCUCGCUUUUCGCCAAGCCCGCAAAUUUGAAAGAGAGAUCUAGAGAGAGAAGGGAGAUAUCUAGAGAGAGGGAGGAGUUUCUCUCACUACCUCCAUGUGUGUGGUGUGUUGUGUUGGUGCUUGGGCUGAGGGAGAAGGAGAAGAAGGGUUGAGGCCUGUCACGCCCCCACCCCGAAACCUCUACCAAUUUGGCACGGUUCGGGCGCGGCAAACGGAGGCCGAAUGGACAGCACCUCCUUUGUCCGCCUAAGGCUCAACAACAGAUCGAGUACAAGAAUUUACCCAGGAUUUUAAAUUCUAUAAGUACCCAAUCAACGGGGCACAAACAGCGCCAACAACAAAGAGCAAGUAAUCCAUAAGAUACACAAGUGAAAUAAAGAGAGAACUUACUAACUAUUACAUCACAUUUGCAUUUUUUUCCUCAAAAUGAAUACAUAUUUUCAUCAAGUACAUAGCUCUCCAAAGUCCUCACCUACAUGAAUCUCUCUCAAUACAUAGGUGUGCUAAUGAAAAAGGAAAGCUACUACUCUACCAAUAAUCCUCACUGGUCGGGCGCGAUGCCCUUGCCGCGGUCCUCGCCCGGCAAACUUGUACCUAGCCAUGGAAGUAAAGUGGGGUGAGAACUAUCUUCCAUAGUUCCCAGUGAGCUCGACCGCCGACUCCGACGAUCUCCCCACUAGGUCCAAGUGGGCACAAGUAACAACGAAAUAGAUAGAUAUGUAUAUCAAAGCUGUAAAGACAUAAUAGGAAAACUAUGCUACUAUGCCCAUAAUUAUGUGAAAUGAAUGCAUGCAUCAUUUAGUAAAGGUUUACUAUCAUGCUAACAAGUUCAAUCCAUGUUCAAUAAGCAAUGUCCGAUGACAAUAUUAACUUUUCAUUUACCCAAUCUAUGGCGAAACUCUUGGGUUCGCCUACGCCUCACAUAUCCAUCCCAUUCGGUAUGGAGUCUCCAUGUGCCCUCGAACCCGGGACUGUCUGCGGACAUCCACUCUGUCCUAAUCGCCCGACACUCCGGAGUACUCGACGACAAUCCUCUCCAUGUGAGGAUAUGGAUGGCUUUACCAUCCCGAAUAACAGACCGUGAGCUUGAUCUAUCCUCUCCACGUGAGGAUACUCUACGAACUAGGGCCAACAUUCUCUCGGAACUCAUCCAUUCCGACAUUCAUGCAUAUCUACUUAGCUAUACUAAGUUCAUUGUUCACGAGUCAUUUACUAGGGAAUCCACCUAUCCCUAAGUUCAUGAACCUCUAGUGUCAAAUACACUACAUAAUGCCACUCGUUCUGUUUUUUAAACAUUUAGAUGCCACUCUCUAUGUUACUAAAUAACCAUCGAGAUCAUCUCUUUCCUCUAGCACUGUAGGAUCCACGUUCCAACCCAAUCCUUACCUAUCCAUUUCACCAAGUAUUCCAUGUACACUAGAUUAACAUUUAGAAGCAUAAGGAAAAGGUACUACAAUGAAAUCCUACAAUACAACAUGUAAGAGAUGGGAUUAUAUGUUAUUCUAAGACAUAAUAGAGAGUUCGGUUGCUUCGGGAUGACACUCCCCACCUUUUGAGGUACGAAGGUUCUAGAAAUGCUUCUCGCCGAAUGUUACGACGAGGUCUCGACCUCCUUGGUCCAAAACGGUGCUUAAUCGACUAUAUUUCGCUGAUAGCUUUUCACCCGCUCAACGAAUCGAAAUCCGACUUCGCCCCCGCGUUUAGAUACCUAUCAAUUAGGUUUACAAGCUAUCAAAUGAGAUCAAUCUCAUAUAUUUCCAAAACCCCCAUUUGGGUGCCCUAGGGUUCACAUCUUGCAAUUUGCACCAUGAAACCCUAGCCUCAAGCUCUAAUCCACCAUUAAUGGUGCUAGAGGUCCAUUUGACCUCAUUUCAAAAGCCAAAAAUCCAAAAGCCCUAAGCUUAACCAUACUAGGGUUGGUAGCUUACCUCUUGAGCUACUCCAAAAGGAUGAAGAGGGAGAGAAAAAGGUGGUGGAGAUGAUCUUCUCCAAGCUCUCCUUCUUCUUCUUCUCUUUUCUUUCUUCUCCUUCUCUUUUCUUUCUUCUUUUCCUUGAGAGAGAGAGGGAGAGCUAAGGGAGAGAGGGAGGGGUGUUACGGAGUAGAUGAGAGAAAGAGAGAGAGCUUUUCUCUCUAAUACUCUCCAUCUAAUGUAACAAAUGCAGCUAAGCCCCUCAACUUUACUUCCCUCAAACAGCUCUGCCUGGGUAGAUUUUGCGUGGAGGGACCGGUCCCUGGUCGGGAGGACCGGUCCCUUAGGACCUUCCCAAAAUUCACGCGUACGGGAACCGGUCCCUGCCCGAGAGACCGGACCCUUGAGGACCGGUCUUUCCUGAGAGACCGGUUCCCGAGAGCUGACCUCUCGGGACUUAGCCAAAUUUCCACUUCUCCCGCGGGUUUCACCUACGGGGACCGGUCCCUCAGCCCAGGGACCGAUUACAUCAGGCAAUCCCGCAACCACUAGCUACUGGGACCGGUCCUUCCCUGCCAGGGACCGGUCCCCGAGAGCAGAAUCUGCCAAGUGCAGAUUUUGCAUUAUUCGCUCUCGUGGACUCGAUUUCCAAAGCACUUUUUGUAUUUUGGACAUCUCCAACUUUUCCGAAGCCUUCCCACUCGAUAAUUAGUCGAUCCUGAACGAAGUACAACUCUCGAAUUUCGAGAAUUCACUUCCUUACAAGGCCUCUUCCCCUAUAAGUCAACACACAAUUACCAAUCAGUCCCUGCACUUUCUGGGCCAUUUUCGGGCUCAGGGUCUGGACCCCGUAGGUCCAGAAAACCCGAAAUUCCAGGACUUAGCCAAAUUUCCAGCAAUUUCAGCUUUUGGUCCGUUUUCGCUCGUUUUCGCUCCCGGGGCCUCCAAUUCAUUUCAAAUCGCACCGAGACCCCCGAAACACGUUUUCGAGCGCGUUUAAACCAUCCUUUCAUCCACGCUUUGCUGGAUUUCGGCCAAAGUCCAAUCAUAGCUUUUCGAGUUCCGUUUUCGCGCCCGACGCGUACCGAAAACACCCGAAUGCUCUCGAACUUCACCGGAACUACUCCAAUAACUUUUCGA